rnacentral:lncRNA from 1 species
GUUUUUUUUGUAUGAACACCAUUCAAAACUUCAUGUAGAACAAGGACCCCCUCCAUAAUAUAUCUACCCUUGAUGAAGGCAGUUUGAAUGGGAGAGACAACCUCUCCGGGAACCCCAUCUAACAUGUUCAUCAAUACUUUUGUAAAGAUUUUAAAACUAACAUUCAAAAGGAAAAUAGGUCUUUAUUUCUGUAUCUGAUUAGCAUAUUUACUUUUAGGCAGUAAAGUGACAAUCCCAUAGUUGAGCCUUCUAAUACCUAACUCGCCUUUAUGAAAAUCAUCAAACAUAGCUUUCAAAUCAUGUUUAAUAAAGUCCUAGAAGUGCUCCUAAAACUCAGCAGUGAACCCAUCUGGGCCAGGUGAUUUAUUAUGAGCCAUUUGAAACAAUGCACUUUUAAUUUCCUCUAAAGAAAAUUCAUUAACUAGCUUUUCCUUAGUAGAAAUAGGAACAUUAGCACGAUCAUCAAUACUCAAAGAAAUUUAAGAAACUUCAGGGUGUCCAAACAUUUUUUAUAAAAAUUGAUGAUAUAAUAUAGUAAUUUUGUGCCCCCUCUAUAUUGCCUUCAUCUUGAUCUAGACUACUAAUUUUAUUUCUCCUAUGUCUUCCAUUGGAUUUUGCAUAGAAGUAUCUUGUAUUGACAUACUCUUCUGAAAUCUCAUCUAUUUUUUCCCUCUGUUUCCACUUAGCCUCCUCCUAACUUAAAAGCAUGUCAAGUUGGGCCCUAAGUUGCAUCUGUUCCACUCUGUUUGCAGCAGACAAUCCAUAAAUCUCAUAGUAUUUGUCAAAUACGUCAAAUUUAUAAGAAUGUCUUUUUUCAAUUCUCUAUACCAAGUAUUCAUAUUUCUAUUCCACCCUUUUAAUUUUGGUCUAAGCCCUCUUAAUUGUUUGCCAUCUAUCAAUACUAGGACCACUUAAGCAUGUGUUAUUCUAGACCUCAGUCACAAGCUCACCAAGCCCUUCCCUAAUAAACCAAGAAUUUUCAAAUAUAUAAGUUGAGUCAGACUUAACCACAUACCUAGUAUCAAGAAACAAGGGAACAUGAUCAGAUUUUCUUCGAUCAGGCAGAAACCUCUGUCAAACGAUAAUUUUCCUAUCAUUCCACACUACAUAAAAUCCUAUCUAGUUUUUCAAAAAUAGGCUGGGUCAAGUUAUUACCCCUAAUAAAUUUCCUACCAUGCAUCUCAAGCUCUCUCUCACCCCAGCCUGUUCAAGAAUGGCAUUAGAAAGAAAGCUCCAAUGUCCUGGAGUACCAUGUUUGUUUCUAUCAUAUGCUUUUAUGAUAAUAUUAAAAUCCCAUCCUAUCAGGAUGGGGUUACCACUAUCUUGGAAAACCCUAGACAACUCAGCUAAGAAUUUGGCUUUUCCAGCAGGUUGAGCAUCCCCAUAGAUCAUUAUCAGAUCCCAGAGAAAUUUACUUUUAACAUCAUGCAGUCAUUUUAAUGCAGUAAUCUCCCUCAUCUUGUGAAAUCACAUCUAAAGUUGUAUAAUUAAACCCCAUAAGUAAACCACCAGAUUUCCCCUUAGCACAAACAUGAUGCCAAAGAAAAUCCCUCCCAGCACAAAUCUCUUGCAAGUCAUUCCUAGAAAAUUUGUCUCUCAUAAUUUCCUGUAACCCAAGAAAAUAUACCUCAAUAUCCAUCACCAUUUCUCUUAGAAAUAUUUUUUAUAACAUCAUCCCCAAAACCCCUCAUGUUCCACAAAACCCCUCUCAUUUUACUUUUUUCCCAGAAUGUUCGAGAUUCUUAAUGCUCAAGAUAGAUUUCCUCUCAAAAUUUAUGGAGGAUCUAUUCUUAUUUCAGUCUUUGUUAUUAGAAAAUAUUUCUCUAAAAUAUUUCCAACCUUCUUUUUCCUCAUCCAGCUCACUAUCAUCAUCUCCACCUACCAAUUCCUCUAUAUUGUGUUCCUCUGUUUCAAUAACAGUGGUCACUUUUUGAACCAGAUCUUUACUCCCAUCCUUCCCUUUUUUUAUUGUUGUUAGCCACCCAGAAAUCCACUCUAUCGUUUUCUACUAUUUUAAUAAGGUUGAUGACCAUAUCCAUCUCAUCUCCCAGAUCAACACCCGCAUUUACAGCAAUAACAUGCAAAUGAUCUUGAGAGGAUAAAAGAAGAUUAGGAAUUUCAUCCUUACCAUAAUUGUCCUUCUUAGCAGCUCUUUUCUUUGCUAGUUCUUCAAUGUUCCAAUCCUCUUUUUCUUUAUUUCUCUCACUCUUCAAAAACUCCAGACUCUUAACAUCAAGUUCUCCUCUCUUAGCUUUUUUAACCAAGAUCUCAAACAAAUCUUGUUCCUGGCUAGCAGUGUAAUCCAUCUGUUCCAAGUAACCAUCCUCUGGCUCCAAGAGACCAAGCUCCUCCAUGUGUUUACCAAUGUCAUUGUCCACAUUUAUCUUUUCCUUCUCAACAUAUACGUGCUCAUCAUCAUUAGCCUUACUAGCAAUUUGAAAACCACCCACCUGCUCAAACAUCCUCAUAUUCUGUUGCAGAAGCUCAUGUUGUCUUUUAAUCUCUCUUUCCAGCCCCACUUUCAUAAUCUCCAUUUCUUUCCUCCUCUUCUUUUAUACUACUAGUUGAGCUGUCUGUCUAGCAGCCAUUUCUUCAGCCAACUGCAGCUUUAGAAGUAAAGCUUUCUCCCCUUCAAAUAUUCCAGCAACAUCUUGUUCCUUACUACAGCUACACUCACCAUUAUUCAUUUUAUUCUAAACAUUAAUGUAGACCACAUUUUUAUAUUGUUUAGAGGAUAAGCUUCCCCAAGGUCACAUUAGUUCUAGACUGAUCAGUGCUCUUACUUUUUUGCUUCUUAUCAGCUUCUUUUUGUUCCAUGGCAUCUUCUAUACUAAGAAGUUCAGACACUUUUCUCUUAUUUCCUUCCUCAAACUUAUACCACCCCUAUUUUGCCACAGAUUCCCAUUCAAACUGAAUAUCAUACAACAGCAAAUCUUUGGUAGUUACCUCUGUUCCUGGUGGGAUUUUAUGGAGGUUUAUUACUCCCACUUUAAUUGUUUUCUUCUUUUGUAUGGAUAUGUUCCACAUUUACUUCCACUACUAGUCCCAGGGCAGACUGUCAGCGUUCUGGCAACGGGGGUCCCUAGACUUGCCUGCCUGCGGCCUGCUGCGUGGCUCAAGUGGGGGCCCAGUGCGGCCCAUCUUCAUCAGCCCAAGCUCAAGACCCUCGCGAGGGGCCAAGCCUCGCGGGGAGGACGAUGGGAAGCUUCCUCAGAGGCAGCCUCAUCAGGCAGGCUCGCGAGGAGGCAGAGAGAUCAAGGCAGGGGUACCUCGCGAGGAACCCGUGACGCAAGCCAUGACGAUCGAGACCAGGCGGGCGUCGGCCUGCGCAGUGUCCUUGUUUCUGUUGGGGAACGUAGUAAUUUCAAAAAAAAUUCCUACGCACACGCAAGAUCACGGUGAUGCGUAGCAACAAGAGGGGAGAGUGUUGUCUACGUACCCUCGUAGACCGGAAGCGGAAGCGUUAGCACAACGCGGUUGAUGUAGUCGUACGUCUUCACGGCCCGACCGAUCAAGCACCAAAACUACGGCACCUCCAAGUUCUAGCACAUGUUCAGCUCGAUGACGAUCCCCGGACUCCGAUCCAGCAGAAUGUCGGGGAAGAGUUCCGUUAGCACGACGGCGUGGUGACGAUCUUGAUGUUCUACUGUCGCAGGGCUUCGCCUAAGCACCACUACAAUAUUAUCGAGGACUAUGGUGGAGGGGGGCACCGCAUACGGCUAAGAGAUCAAUGAUCAACAGUUGUUUCUAUGGGGUGCCCCCUGCCCCCGUAUAUAUAGGAGCAAGGGAGGGAGGCGGCCGGCCUAGGAGGAGGGCGCGCCAAGGGGGGAGUCCUACUCCCACCGGGAGUAGGAAUCCUCCUUCCCUUGUUGGAGUAGGAGAGAAGGAAAGAGGGGGAGAGGAACAAGGAAAAGUGGGCUGCACCCCUUGUCCAAUUCGGACCAGGGGGGCGCGCCUCCUUCCUUUUGGCCUCUCUCCUCUAUUCCCGUAUGGCCCAAUAAGGCCCAUAUACUCCCCGGCGAAUUCCUGUAACUCUCCGGUACUCCGAAAAAUACCUGAAUCACUCGGAACCUUUCUGAUGUCCGAAUAUAGUCGUCCAAUAUAUCGAUCUUUACGUAUUGACCAUUUUGAGACUCCUCCUCAUGUCCCCGAUCUCAUCCGAGACUCCGAACCCCUUCGAUACAUCAAAACUCAUAAACUCAUAAUAUAACUGUCAUCAAAACCUUAAGCGUGCGGACCCUACGGGUUCGAGAACUAUGUAGACAUGACCGAGACACGUCUUCGGUCAAUAACCAAUAGCGGAACAUGGAUGCUCAUAUUGGCUCCCACAUAUUCUAUGAAGAUCUUUAUCGGUCAGACCGCAUAACAACAUACGUUGUUCCCUUUGUCAUUGGUAUGUUACUUGCCCGAGAUUCGAUCAUCGGUAUCUCAAUACCUAGUUCAAUCUCGUUACCGGCAAGUCUCUUUACUCGUUCCGUAAUACAUCAUCUCGCAACUAACUCAUUAGUCACAAUGCUUGCAAGGCUUAUAGUGAUGUGCAUUACCAAGAGGGCCCAGAGAUACCUCUCCGACAAUCGGAGUGACAAAUCCUAAUCUCGAAAUACGCCAUCCCAACAAGUACCUUCGGAGACACCUGUAGAGCACCUUUAUAAUCACCCAGUUACGUUGUGACGUUUGGUAGCACACAAAGUGUUCCUCCGGUAAACGGGAGUUGCAUAAUCUCAUAGUCAUAGGAACAUGUAUAAGUCAUGAAGAAAGCAAUAGCAACAAACUAAACGAUCAAGUGCUAUGCUAACGGAAUGGGUCAAGUCAAUCACAUCAUUCUCCUAAUGAUGUGAUCCCAUUAAUCAAAUGACAACUCAUGUCUAUGGCUAGGAAACAUAACCAUCUUUGAUCAACAAGCUAGUUAAGUAGAGGCAUACUAGUGACACUUUGUUUGUCUAUGUAUUCGCACAUGUAUUAUGUUUCCGGUUAAUACAGUUAUAGCAUGAAUAAUAAACAUUUAUCAUGAAAUAAGGAAAUAAAUAAUAACUUUAUUAUUGCAUCUAGGGCAUAUUUCCUUCAGUCUCCCACUUGCACUAGAGUCAAUAAUCUAGUUCACAUCGCCAUGUGAUUUAACAUCAAUAGUUCACAUCACCAUGUGAUUAACACCCAUAGUUCACAUCGUCAUGUGACCAACACUCAAAGGGUUUACUAGAUUCAAUAAUCUAGCUAGUUCACAUCGCUAUGUGAUUAAAGCCCAAAGAGUACUAGGGUGUGAUCAUGUUUUGCUUGUGAGAGAAGUUUAGUCAACGGGUCUGCCACAUUCAGAUCCGUAAGUAUUUUGCAAAUUUCUAUGUCAACAAUGCUCUGCACUAAGCUACUCUAGCUAAUUUCUCCCACUUUCAAUAUGUAUCCAGAUUGAGACUUUGAGUCAUCUGGAUCAGUGUCAAAACUUGGACGUAACCCUUUAUGACGAACCUUUUGUCACCUCCAUAAUCGAGAAACAUAUGCUUAUUCCACUAAGGAUAAUUUUGACCAAUGUCCAGUGAUCUACUCCUAGAUCACUAUUGUACUCCUUUGCCAAACUCAUGGCAGGGUAUACAAUAGGUCUGGUACACAGCAUGGCAUACUUUAUAGAACCUAUGGCUGAGGCAUAGGGAAUGACUUUCAUUCUCUCUCUAUCUUCUGCCGUGGUCGGGUUUUGAGCCUUACUCAACUUCACACCUUGUAACACAGGCAAGAACUCCUUCUUUAACUGUUCCAUUUUAAACUACUUCAAAAUCUUGUCAAGGUAUGUACUCAUUGAAAAACUUAUCAAGCGUCUUGAUCUAUCUAUAUAGAUCUUGAUGCUCAAUAUGUAAGCAUCUUCACCGAGGUCUUUCUUUGAAAAACUCCUUUCAAACAUUCCUUUAUGCUUUGCAGAAUAAUUCUACAUUAUCUCUGAUCAACAAUAUGUCAUUCACAUAUACUUAUCAGAAAUGCUGUAGUGCUCCCACUCACUUUCUUGUAAAUACAGGCUUCACCGCAAGUCUAUAUAAAACUAUAUGCUUUGAUCAACUUAUCAAAGCGUAUAUUCCAACUCCGAGAUGUAACGCCUCGAGACCGAUGUGCCAGGUAUCGCCCAGUUAUUCAUUGUUGUUGCCUUGUCAUUGCUUGCGUGUCAUGCAUUGCAUAUCAUGUCAUCAUGUGCAUUUCAUUUUGCAUACAUGUUCGUCUCAUGCAUCCAAGCAUUUUUCCCGUUGUCCGUUUUGCAUUCUGGCGCUCCUAUCUCCUCCGGUGGUCCUUUCUACCUUUCUUUCGUGUGUGGGGGUUAAUCAUUUCUGGAUUGGACCGAGACUUGUCAUGUGGCCUUGGUUUACUACCGGUAGACCGCUUGUCAAGUUUUGUCCCAUUUGGACUUCGUUUGAUACUCCAACGGUUAACCGAGGGACCGAAAAGGCCUCGUGUGUGUUGCAGCCCAACACCCUUCCAAUUUGGCCCAAAACCCACCUAAACCCCCUCCAUCAUCUCGGUCGUUCGAUCACGAUCGCGUGGACGCAAACCGCACCUCAUUUGGAGCUCCCUAGCUCCCUCUACCUCUAUAAAUAGACCUCCUCCCGAAAUUUCUCGGGUCCCUUCAACCCCAAACCCUAGAUCCAACUCUCUCCGCGCGGCCGGACACGUCCGAUCCGGCCGGACGCUUCACCGCCAUCACUCCCGUGCCGCCACCUGUCGCGCCUCAGCUCCCUCCGCCGCCGCGGCCCGCGGGACCCAGGUUAGGCCCGCGCGAGCCCAUCUCGCCGCCGCCCGAGCGCCCGGGCUCUCCCGACGCCUAGCGCCACCCGCCGCCGGCUUGCUCCGCCACCUGCCUCCGCGCCCCGCACCGUAACCUCGCCGGAGUUGCUGCUCGUGCCGCCGGAGUCGCGCCACCAUCGCCGGAGUGCCUCCCCACCGGAGUUCCGCACCUCGCCGGUCCUGCCCGUCUCGCCAUCGCCCGGAUCCGGCGUUCUCCGGCCAGAUCCGGCAGCCCCCGCGCCGUCCCCGGCCUUCCUCGUUGUUCUCCGCGCGCCCCGUCAUCUCUUCGUCGCCGCCGCCGCGUUCGUUCCCUGGAUCGGGAGGACGACGCCCCCAGCGCCUCCCGCGUGGGCCGCGCCCAAGUCCGGCCCAGCUCGCCGGCCACCUUCCUCUCCGUUUUGGGCCAAAGCCCAUGGGUGAGCCACCAUUAUUCCCUGCCCCAUGCGCGACAUAUUAUCUUACGCCCAGUUCCAGACUUGGUGAUUUUCACUAAGUCCCCGAGUUUUCUAGAUUAAAUGCGCAUGUUCAUCAUGUCGUAAAUUUGCAUCCAUAGCUCUGAUUCAUGCGUGUAGCAUAUCAGAUUGUUUGUCUCAAAGAGCACAUCAUUUCAUCUCAUGCCAUCAUUUUCAUUUGAGCUCAUCUUGAUGCCCGAAAUGCUGAUGGAAGAGUGCUAUUCGAGUUUAUUGUCAGAUCUGCUGCACCAAAUAGCUAUUUGUCAUUUUUGCCAUGUUUAAUGUGUGCAUGAUAUGCUCCUGAGCUCUACAUGUGUUUUGUUAUAUGUUUUGCCAUCUUUACAGAGGUGCUAUCCAUGUAUUUUUUGUGAUAUGUGUGGUGACUAGCACAAGCUUGCAAAGUAGUGCAUUCGUUAAUGCUUAUUUCAGGGACUUAGCAUUUCCACUAAGUCCUUGGUCUGUUUUUAUCAAUAUGCCAUAUGUUUAUGUUGUUUCCUAGUGAUCCGUGCCUCUUUUGAGGAUGAUCAGUAAGGAUGUUUUGUUAAUCUUGUAGUGCUCUAUCCAUCAAUGUAUUUGUUUGAAAUUAUGGAGCACCCUAGCUUGAGUUAGUCGAGCUCUACUUUUGCUAUUUCGUGAAUCUGGGCAGAUUGUCUACUUGUUAGCGAAUUUGCCGAGGAUGUUGUAGUUGAUUUGUGCAUGAUAUGUUGUUGUUCUUGCCAUGUCUAGCUUGUACAAGGUGUAUUCUUGACGGGUGUAUGCUUAGUUUGUCAUGCCUUGCUCUGUAGUGAGUGCAUCGAGCUCGUGAACAUGCCUACUUAUUAACAGAUUUGCAUGUUCCAGUUUUUCACUAAGUCUGUAAUCUGAUUAUGUUUUUGCCAUGUUCACAUGCUUGCAAUUGUAUUUUAUGAUCCCUUUUGGCUCAAGGUCACUAAGGGACUUUUGUUAAGCACUUUGAGUAGCUCUAUGUCAUGCCUUGCUUUGCCAUGUUAAUUUCCUGUAGCAUAUAGUUUUCAUGCUCCAAAGUGUGCUACCUGAUCUGAAAUUGCAGACUAGUGUUAAUUUCACUAAGUCUGAAACCUGUUUACCAAUUGCACUUUUGCCAUGCUUGUUUGAACCUGUUAAUGGAUGAAUGGGUCGUAGCUCAGUGUUCAUCUUUUGUCAAGCAUCAUGAGUGGAUCUUUGCCAUGUAUUUUGUUUCCAUGUUUGAGUGUUGUAGCAUAUUUAUCUUGACGCAUUUAGAUGGCUAAUUGCUGUUUAUCGCAGACCGGUGCCAUAUUUGUUUUGCUUGCCAUUUCCAAACCGUGCAUCCAAUUCCGGUGAUCUUCAUAUCGAUUUCAACCGAAAUCACCUCACCUUUCCAGUGGCCCACUUGGAUUUCCAAGUUGAGGCCAGGUUCAAUCAUUCCUUUGCAAAUCAUGCAUAUGCAUCGGAUACCGCAUCCCGCAUAUCAUACCAUGUUCAUGUGUUGGUUGUUUACUAUGUUGCGUGCUUCUUUCCGGUGUUUGCUUCUCCGGGUUGGGUCUGGUAACGUCGCGUUUGUGAGGACCCAUUCGUCUACGUUCGUUUGUCUUCUUCAUGGACUCCUUCCUCCUUGUGCGAUUUCAGGCAAGAUGAUCAUACCCUCGAAAUCACUUCUAUCUUUGCUUGCUAGUUGCUCGCUCUUUCGCUAUGCCUAUGCUGCGAUACCUACCACUUGCUUAUCAUGCCUCCCAUAUUGUUGAACCAAGCCUCUAACCCACCUUGUCCUAGCAAACCAUUGUUUGGCUAUGUUACCGCUUUGCUCAGCCCCUCUUAUAGCGGUGUUAGUUGCACGUGAAGAUUGAAGUUUGUUCCUUGUUGGAACAUGGAGAUGUUGUUCCUUGUUGGAACAUGUUUUACUUGUUGGGAUAUCACAAUAUAUCUUAUUUAGUUAAUGCAUCUAUAUACUUGGUAAAGGGUGGAAGGCUCGGCCUUAUGCCUGGUGUUUUGUUCCACUCUUGCCGCCCUAGUUUCCGUCAUAUCGGUGUUAUGUUCCCGGGUUUUGUGUUCCUUACGCGGUUGGGUAAUAAUGGGAACCCCUUGACAGUUUGCCUCGAAUAAAACUCCUCCAGCAAGGCCCAACAUUGGUUUUACCAUUCGCCACCUAGCCCUUUUUUUCCCUUGGGAGUCACGCAUCCCGAGGGUCAUCUUUAUUUUAACCCCCCCGGGCCAGUGCUUCUCUAAGUGUUGGUCCAACUGAGCGAUAUGUGGAGCUACCAGGGGCAACUCUGGGCUGGCCCACCCGACGUCUGGCUCAUCUGGUGUGCCCUGAGAACGAGAUAUGUGCAGCUCCUAUUGGGAUUUGUCGGCACAUCUGGGUGGCUUUGCUGGUCUUGUUUUAUCUUUGUCAAAAUGUCUUGUAACCGGGAUUCCGAGUCUGAUCGGGUCUUCCCGCUAGAAGGAAUAUCCUUCAUUGACCGUGAGAGCUUGUGAUGGGCUAAGUUGGGACACCCCUGCAGGGAUUUGAACUUCCGAAAGCUGUGCCCGCGGUUAUAGGCAGAUGGGAAUUUGUUAAUGUCCGGUUGUAGAAAACCUGAAGUUGACCUUAACUAAAAUACAUCAACCGCGUGUGUUACCGUGAUGGUCUCUUUCCGUCGCAGUCCGGGAAGUGAACACGGUGUUGGAGUUAUGCUUGACGUAGGUUGUUUUAGGAUAACUUCUUGAUCAUACUUUUAUCGACUGUGCUUUGCCUUGUCUUCUCGCUCUCAUUUGCGUAUGUUAGCCACCAUAUAUGCUAGUCGCUUGAUGCAGUUCCACCUCAUACUUUUACCCUACCUAUAAGCUUAAAUAGUCUUCAUCGCGAGGGUGCGAGAUUGCUGAGUCCCCCGUGACUCACAGAUACUUCCAGAACCAGCUUGCAGGUGCCGAUGAGCCCGUACAGAUGACGCAACCAAGCUGAGGAGGAGCUCGAUGAAGAUCUUGUCCUUUGUGUUGUUUCGUACUAGUUGAUCAGUAGUGGAGCCCAGUUGGGGUCGAUCGGGGACCUUGUCUCUUUUGGGGUUCUUCUUUUAUUUUGGUACCAUAGUCGGACCUUGAUUGUAUUUGGAUGUUGUAAUGCUUUAUUCAUGUAUUCUGUGAAGUGGCGAUUGUAAGCCAUCUAUGUAUCUCUUUCCCUUAUGUAUUACAUGGGUUGUGUGAAUAUUACCUCACUUGCGACAUUGCUUUCAAUGCGUUUAUGCCUCUAAGUUGUGCUUCGACACAUGGGAGAUAUAGCCGCAUCGAGGGCGUUACAAGUUGGUAUCAGAGCCUUCCCCGACCUUAGGAGCCCCCCUGCUUGAUCGAAUUAGCGGACGAGUUGAGUCUAGAAAAAUGUUUUGAGUCAUUUAGGAAUUAUAUAGCGGAGAGUUUAGGAAUUCUUUUUACUCCCCAGUCCCUUCAUCGCUCUGGUAAGGCUUCCCGACGUAGAGUUUUGACUCUUCUCUUCUCAAAUUUCACUAAAUUUUUUUAGGAUCACGCGGGUAUCUUGGAAUCGUUCUGAUAGUUUUGUGACGAGAACAUUGUUCUUGGUGCCUCCUGUCAUUUAGGGGUUGUGGCAGUGUCCCGGGGAGUUGAGCUCCGAGGUGUUGUCGUCACAACUUUAUCAUUGCAGUUCUGGAAUACCUGAGAUUAGUUUCGCCGACAUCGAAAAUCUCUUUUAUGCAGUUGUUGGUGAGAUAACCUCGACGCCACCCAGUACUGGGGCGGGAGUUUGGGAGUAUUGCCAUAACUCGUAUAACGGAUGCUUUUCGAAGGUUGAGGUAGACGAUUUCCGAAGGUUUCUUGGUUAUGUGUUGAAGGAUGGAUACAGCUGGAUGUAGGAUUUGCUAGUUUGGGUGAGAUAUUAUGAUUCCCCUGUAUCCCCAACACCUGAUUGCAUAACCGGAAAAUUUCGGGAGUUUAUAAGUGGGAAUUCAAGUAGCUCUUAGGAUAUCUUUCCGACAAAUGUAUGAUAUGAAAUUGGGGUUCGACAUCUAGUGGUCCGCCUAUUCACAGUUGGUUUUACAGUGGUCUCGUUGUGUCUUAAAGAGUCCUUUGCUAUGCCGACUCGGGGACACUUCGUAUGUCAUGUGCACUGCCUUGUACAUGAUGGUGCUGUACGAUCGAGCCCGUGUACUCCCCACCACGAAAACUUCGGACGAAAUCUCUAUCAUAUGUUUGUUCCGGCUUAUUUUGCAAGCCAAUCCUUUGUUUUGUUUUUGAGUUGUGGUAUUUGAGUUGCUUCGAAGUCAAGUGUUGAUUCCAUACCUUUCCAAACCGGUGUUCUCAUAUUCCUAUGUGAAUAACAAUCCUUCAUGAUAAUCGAGAUUGUCAUGUCAAUCCUUUUCAACUAGUGUGUCUCUCGUCAAGCGGAUCCGUUCAUUUUCAACAUCCGUAAGAUUCAAUCUCAGCUUUCGCAACGGUGUUCGUUUCAUCCAUCCCAAGUUGUCCUUGUUGUCCCUCCCUCCCUCCCUUUUUCCUCAAGGACUCGGAUUUCUUAAUCAAGCAUCCUUUUUAUUCUUGUGAAGUCUCUCCAUUCUUUUCCAUCAAUAUCCUUAUCUGGUGAUUCUCAUGAAGAUGCUCUUCAAGUUCGUUAUUCUUCAUUCUUUUUCUUCUCCGGUGGAUUCAAUUCAAGCUUUUGGUGUUGAUCACAUCCUUUUUCCAUGUUUCAAAUGUGUUCUUAUGCGGGGCCACCUCUUAAUCAUCCACUCCUUGCUAUUCUUUUGUUCCGGAGUGCUCAAGAUAUCUCGAAGAUUCAUGUUUCUACUCUGCUUUCGUUCAAGAUCUUUCGAGGAUGUUAUCUCAUUCAAGCCAUUUAAAUCAACCGGAGCAAUCUAUAUUUCAAAUCAUCAACGGUGUUUCUCUUGAGUGGGCCCUAACCCACAGGUCUUUUUCCAGGAUCUUACCUGACUCUUCUUAUUUUCUCGGAGCUAUCCUUAAUUCAUUUCAAAGUUUGACGUCAGUAUGAAUUAUCAUCAGUCAAAUGCCUUUCUCCAAGAUCUUUAAAAAUCUUUUCAUCGUUGGCUCAACCUUUCCAUUUUUUUUCAUUCCGGUGUGCCUCAAUAAUUCAUGGUGGUGUUUCUCCUCGUCAUUCUCAACAUUUGAAGACCAAAGAAGAGUUUCUCUCAUUCUUGCUCCAUUCUCUUCAAGAUUCAUCAUUCUAGCUUGUUGCCAUCCUCUCAUAGUUGUUUUUGGAUUGGAAAAAUUCUUUUCACCUAUCCAGAGCAAUUCAAGAGUCUUCUCAAUUUGAUUAUCCGGGAGUCCAUAAAUUCAGGUUUAUUCAUUCUCAGUUGUCAGCUCUCAUUCUCCAAAUCUAACUGGUGCAUCAUUCAAGUAUAUUCUCUAAUCAAUUCAUGAUCUCUUUGCUCUCUUGUAUCUAAAUGCUCUCAAGCAUCCUCAUUCAUUUUAUAAUUCUUCCCGGUGUUUCUUUAUCUUCUCGUCGUUCAUUUUUAGUUCUUUCAUUCUUUCAAAUCCUACCGGUGGAUCAUUGAAGGCCUCUUCAAGUUUGCGCAAUAUCUAUCUUAAUCCUUUCUACGAGAAUAAGUAGUAUGCCAAAUCCAUUGCUUGUCAUCAAUUUAAAUUGGUGAAGGAUAAGCAUAAUGUAAUUCUUAUUCUUGUUUCAUCCAAGAGAUUAAUUCCUUAUUCCGGAGGUUCACCAAAUUCUCGGUUUCACUUUUUUUCAUCUUUUCUUUCCCGGAGUUCCAAGCUCUAAUUAUCACGGAGAUCCAUCUAAAUCAUUUCAAGGAUUCACCUUGUGUUUUCAAUUUCUCUUUCUUUUGUUACCGGAGUUCUUCAUGGAGGCUCGACAUGGUGUUUCAUCAAGGAAUUAAUUCCUUCUCGAAGUUUUCAUCGAGAUUCAUUUCUAGGGAGCUCAAGUAUUUCUUCAUCUUGCAAUCCGGAGUGCAAUUUCUUUCUACCAUAUCUUUGGAGGUGGUAUUAUGCCAUUCUUGAUAAUUUGAGUUCAUGUUUCAUGAUUCACAUGUUAUUAAGAAUGAGGUAUUCUUAAUCCAUCAAUCUCGUCAUUGGAGUUACCUUGGGUUAUAUUUCACCUAAAGCUUUCCCUAAGGAUUGUUGCUAUAUUUGGUGCUUAUAAAUGAUCCAAGUUCUUCUUUAUCCUCCCAGUGAAAUAUUUUCUCGUCUCCUUGGUCAUACCAAUCCAAUUCUUUUUCCCGUGAGUGGCAGGUUGUCACCUCAUAAUUUGAGAUGUAUUCCAUAAGACCAUAUCAAGCUUACUCUUUUUGUUGUUGGUUUUCCAACAACUCCAUUCGACACUUCUCCUAAGGAUACCUUUUCAACCUCUUUCGUAGCAGAAGUUGGCAUUUUCUUCUACAUUCUUUUAUCUCAAUGAUCUAUCUUCUAUUUCUCUCUUCCGGAGGCAUUGUGAUGUUGCUCUCUUCAACCCAUCAUCUUGGUUGUCAAGGUCAUGUUCAGUUCCUUCCAUUUUUAGUCGAAGUGCUGCCCAAACUAUACCAUUCUUUCCCUCUCUAUCUUGUUUUUAACCUGAGUGUUGUGCCUUUUUCCUCAACUUCUUUUCGUCUUAUCAAGGCUUGUACCACUUUUCAAUCGGAGUGCUGCCCGAAUUUGUUCUUCCUCGUUACUCUUCUCAAACAGAGUGUUUUCAACUUUGUUCAUCUCUGUUGUAUUCUUUCUUUCAAUGUGUACAACCUCUCAAAGUUCUUUGGUUUCACUCAUUUGUCAAGAAGCAGCUUAGUUUUACCUCUUCCUAUUCCUUUUCCCUCCGGUGCCAUUCUAGAUCUCGGGACGAGAUCCUCUCGUAGUGGUGGAGUGUUGUAACGCCCCGAGACCGAUGUGCCAGGUGUCGCCCAGUUAUUCGCUAUUGUUGCCUUGUCAUUGCUUGCGUGUCAUGCAUUGCAUAUCAUGUCAUCAUGUGCAUUUCAUUUGCAUACAUGUUCGUCUCAUGCAUUCGAGCAUUUUUCCCGUUGUCCGUUUUGCAUUCCGGCGCUCCUAUCUCCUCCUGUGGUCCUUUCUACCUUUCUUUCGUGUGUGGGGGUUAAUCAUUUCCGGAUUGGAACGAGACUUGUCAUGCGGCCUUGGUUUACUACCGGUAGACCGCCUCUCAAGUUUCGUGCCAUUUGGACUUCGUUUGAUACUCCAACGGUUAACCGAGGGACCGAAAAGGCCUCGUGUGUGUUGCAGCCCAACACCCUUCCAAUUUGGCCCAAAACCCACCUAAACCCCCUCCAUCAUCUCGGUCGUUCGAUCACGAUCGCGUGGCCACAAACCGCACCUCAUUUGGAGCUCCCUAGCUCCCUCUACCUCUAUAAAUAGACCUCCUCCCGAAAUUUCUCGGGUCCCUUCAACCCCAAACCCUAGAUCCAACUCUCUCCGCGCGGCCGGACACGUCCAACCCGGCCGGACGCUUCGCCGCCAUCACUCCCGCACCUCCACCUGUCGCGCCUCAGCUCCCUCCGCCGCCGCGGCCCGCGGGACCCAGGUUGGGCCCGCGCGAGCCCAUCUCGCCGCCGCCCGAGCGCCCGGGCUCUCCCGACGCCUAGCGCCGCCCACCGCCGGCUUGCUCCGCCGCCUGCCUCCACGCCCCGCGCCGCAACCUCACCGGAGUUGCUGCUCGUGUCGCCGGAGUCGCGCCACCGUCGCCGGAGUGCCUCCCCACCGGAGUUCCGCACCUCGCCGGUCCUGCCCGUCUUGCCGUUGCCCGGAUCUGGCGUUCUCCGGCCAGAUCCGGCAGCCCCCGCGCCAUCCCCGGUCAUCCCCGUCGUUCUCCGGCCGCCCCGUCAUCUCUUCGUCGCCACCGCCGCGUUUGUUCCCUGGAUCGGGAGGACGACGCCCCCAGCACCGCUCGCGUGGGCCGCGCCCGAGUCCAGCCCAGCUCGCCGGCCUCCUUCCUCUCCGUUUUGGGCCGAAGCCCAUGGGUGAGCCACCAUUAUUCCCUGCCCCGUGCGCGACAUAUUAUCUUACGCCCAGUUCCAGACUUGGCGAUUUUCACUAAGUCCUCGAGUUUUCCAGAUUAAAUGCCCAUGUUCAUCAUGUCAUAACUUUGCACCCGUAGCUCCGAUUUAUGCGUGUAGCAUAUCAAAUUGUUCGCCUCAGAGAGCACAUCAUUUCAUCUCAUUGCAUCAUUUUCAUUUGAGCUCAUCUUGAUGCUCGAAAGACUGUUGGAAGAGUGCUAUUCGAGUUUAUUGUCAGAUCUGCUGCACCAAAUAGCUAUUUGUCAUUUUUGCCAUGUUUAAUGUGUGCAUGAUAUGCUCGUGAGCUCUACAUGUGUUUUAUUAUAUGUUUUGCCAUCUUUACAGAGGUGCUAUCCAUGUAUUUUUGUGAUAUGUGUGAUGACUAGCACAAGCUUGCAAAGUAGUGCAUUUGUUAAUGCUGAUUUCAGGGACUUAGCAUUUCCACCAAGUCCUUGGUCUGUUUUAUCAAUAUGCCAUAUGUUCAUGUUGUUUCCUAGUGAUCCAUGCCUCUUUUGAGGAUGAUCAAUAAGGAUGUUUUGUUAAUCUUGUAGUGCUCUAUCCAUCCAUGUCUUUGUUUGAAAUUAUGGAGCACCCUAGCUUGAGUCAGUCGAGCUCUACUUUUGCUAUUUCGUGAAUCUGGGCAGAUUGUCUACUUGUUAGUGAUUUUGCCGAGGAUGUUGUAGUUGAUCCGUGCAUGAUAUGUUGUUGUUCUUGCCAUGUCUAGCUUUUACAAGGUGUAUUCUUGACGGGUGUAUGCUUAGUUUGUCAUGCCUUGCUCUGUAGUGAGUGCAUCGAGCUCGUGAACAUGCCUACUUGUUAACAGAUUUGCAUGUUCCAGUUUUUCACUAAGUCUGUAAUCUGAUUAUGUUUUUGCCAUGUUCACAUGCUUGCAAUUGUAUUUUAUGAUCCCUUUUGGCUCAAGGUUACUGAGGGACUUUUGUUAAGCUCUUUGAUUAGCUCCAUGCCAUGCCUUGCUUUUCCAUGUUAAAUUCCUGUAGCAUAUAAUUUUCAUGCUCCAAAGUGUGCUACCUGAUCUGAAAUUGCAGACUAGUGUUAAUUUCACUAAGUCUGAAACCUGUUUACCAAUUGCCCUUUUGCCAUGCUUGUUUGAACCUGUUAAUGGAUGAAUGGGCCGUAGCUCAGUGUUCAUCUUUCGUCAAGCAUCAUGAGUGGAUCUUUGCCAUGUAUUUUGUUGCCAUGUUUGAGUGCUGUAGCAUAUUUAUCUUGACGGAUUUAGAUAGCUACGUGUUGUUUAUCGCAGACCGGUGCCAUAUUUGUUUUGCUUGCCAUUUCCAAACUGUGCAUCCGAUUCCGGUGAUCUUUAUAUCGAUUUCAACCGAAAUCACCUCACCUUUCCAGUGGCCCACUAGGAUUUCCAAGUUGAGGCCAGGUUCAAUCAUUCCUUUGCAAAUCAUGCAUAUGCAUCGCAUACCGCAUCCCGCAUAUCAUACCAUGUUCAUGUGUUGGUUGUUUACUAUGUUGUGUGCUUCUUUCUGGUGUUUGCUUCUUCGGGUUGGGUCUGGUAACGUCGCGUUUGUGAGGACCCGUUCGUCUACAUUCGUUUUCCUUCUUCAUAGACUCCUUCCUCCUUGAGGGAUUUCAGGUAAGAUGAUCAUACCCUCGAAAUCACUUCUAUCUUUGCUUGCUAGUUGCUCGCUCUUUUGCUAUGCCUAUGCUGCGAUACCUACCACUUGCUUAUCAUGCCUCCCAUAUUGUUGAACCAAGCCUCUAACCCACCUUGUCCUAGCAAACCAUUGUUUGGCUAUGUUACCGCUUUGCUCAGCCCCUCUUAUAGCGGUAUUAGUUGCACGUGAAGAUUGAAGUUUGUUCCUUGUUGGAACAUGGAGAUGUUGUUCCUUGUUGGAACAUGUUUUACUUGUUGGGAUAUCACAAUAUAUCUUAUUUAGUUAAUGCAUCUAUGUACUUGGUAAAGGGUGGAAGGCUCGGCCUUAUGCCUGGUGUUUUGUUCCACUCUUGCCGCCCUAGUUUCCGUCAUAUCGGUGCUAUGUUCCCGGAUUUUGCGUUCCUUACGCGGUUGGGUAAUAAUGGGAACCCCUUGAUAGUUCGCCUUGAAUAAAACUCCUCCAGCAAGGCCCAACAUUGGUUUUACCAUUCGCCACCUAGCCCUUUUUCCCUUGGGAGUCGCGCAUCCCGAGGGUCAUCUUUAUUUUAACCCCCCGGGCCAGUGCUUCUCUAAGUGUUGGUCCAACUGAGCGAUGUGCGGAGCUACCAGGGGCAACUCUAGGCUGGCCCACCCGACGUCUGGCUCAUCCGGUGUGCCCUGAGAACGAGAUAUGUGCAGCUCCUAUCGGGAUUUGUCGGCACAUCUAGGUGGCUUUGCUGGUCUUGUUUUAUCUUUGUCGAAAUGUCUUGUAACCGGGAUCCCGAGUCUGAUCGGGUCUUCCCGCUAGAAGGGAUAUCCUUCGUUGACCGUGAGAGCUUGUGAUAGGCUAAGUUGGGACACCCCUGCAGGGAUUUGAACUUUCGAAAGCCGUGCCCGCGGUUUUGGGCAGAUGGGAAUUUGUUAAUAUCCGGUUGUAGAAAACCUGAAGUUGACCUUAAUUAAAAUACAUCAACCGCGUGUGUUACCGUGAUGGUCUCUUUCCGGCGGAGUCCGGGAAGUGAACACGGUGUUGGAGUUAUGGUUGACGUAGGUUGUUUUAGGAUCACUUCUUGAUCAUACUUUUAUCGACCGUGCUUUGCCUUCUCUUCUCGCUCUCAUUUGCGUAUGUUAGCCACCAUAUAUGCUAGUCGCUUGCUGCAGUUCCACCUCAUACUUUGACCCUACCUAUAAGCUUAAAUUGUCUUGAUCGCGAGGGUGCGAGAUUGCUGGGUCCCCCGUGACUCACAGAUACUUCCAAAACCAGCUUGCAGGUGCCGAUGAGCCCGUACAGAUGACGCAACCAAGCUCAGGAGGAGCUCGAUGAAGAUCUUGUCCUUUGUGUUGUUUCGUACUAGUUGAUCAGUAGUGGAGCCCAGUUGGGGUCGAUCGGGGACCUUGUCUCUUUUGGGGUUCUUCUUUUAUUUUGGUUCCGUAGUCGGACCUUGAUUGUAUUUGGAUGUUGUAAUGCUUUAUUCAUGUAUUGUGUGAAGUGGUGAUUGUAAGCCAUCUAUGUAUCUCUUUCCCUUAUGUAUUACAUGGGUUGUGUGAAGAUUACCUCACUUGCGACAUUGCUUUCAAUGCGGUUAUGCCUCUAAGUUGUGCUUCGACGCGUGGGAUAUAUAGCCGCAUCGAGGGUGUUACAAGUUGGUAUCAGAGCCUUCCCCGACCUUAGGAGCCCCCCUGCUUGAUCGAAUUAGCGGACGAGUUGAGUCUAGAAAAAUGUUUUGAGUCAUUUAGGAAUUAUGUAUCGGAGAGUUUAGGAAUUCUUUUUACUCCCCGGUCCCUUCAUCGCUCUGGUAAGGCUUCCUGACGUAGAGUUUUGACUCUUCUCUUCUCAAAUUUCACUAAAAAAAUUUAGGAUCACGCGGGUAUCUUGGAAUCGUUUCGAUGGUUUUGUGAUGAGAACAUUGUUCUUGGUGCCUCCUGUCAUUUAGGGGUUGUGGCAGUGUCCCGGGGAGUUGAGCUCUGAGGUGUUGUUGUCACAAUUUUAUCGUUGCAGUUCUGGAAUACCUGAGAUUAGUUUCGCCGACAUCGAAAAUCUCUUUUAUGCAGUUGUUGGUGAGAUAUACUCGACGCCACCUAGUACUGGGGCGGGAGUUCAGGAGUAUUGCCAUAACUCGUAUAACAGAUGCUUUUCGAAGGUUGAGGUAGACGAUUUCCGAAGGUUUCUUGGUUAUGUGUUGAAGGAUGGAUACAGCUGGAUGUAGGAUUUGCUAGUUUGGGUGAGAUAUUAUGCUUCCCCUGUAUCCCCAACACCUGAUUGCAUAACCGGAAAAUUUCGGGAGUUUAUAAGUGGGAAUUCAAGUAGCUCUUAGGAUAUCUUUCCGACAAAUGUAUGAUAUGAAAUUGGGGUUCGACGUCUAGUGGUCCGCCUAUUCACGAUUGGUUUUACAGUGGUCUCGUUGUGUCUUAAAGAGUCCUUGGCUAUGCCGACUCGGGGACGCUUCGUAUGUCAUGUGCACUGCCUUGUACAUGAUGGUGUUGUACGAUCAAGCCCGUGUAGGCCCCACCACGAAAACUUUGGACAAAAUCUCUAUCAUAUGUUUGUUCCAGCUUAUUUUGCAAGCCAAUCCUUUGUUUUAUUUUUGAGUUGUGGUAUUUGAGUUGCUUCGAAGUCAAGUGUUGAUUCCACACCUUUCCGAACCGGUGUUCUCAUAUUCCUAUGUGAAUAACAAUCCUUCAUGAUAAUCGAGAUUGUCAUGUCAAUCCUUUUCAACCAGUGUGUCUCUCAUCAAGCGGAUCCGUUCAUUUUCAACAUCCGCAAGAUUCAAUCUCAGCUUUCACAAUGGUGUUCGUUUCAUCCAUCCCAAGUUGUCCUUGUUGUCCCUCCCUCCCUCCCUUUUUCCUCAAGGACUCAGAUUUCUUAAUCAAGAAUCCUUUUUAUUCUUGUGAAGUCUCUCCAUUCUUUUCAAUCAAUAUCCUUAUCUGGUGAUUCUCAUGAAGAUGCUCUUCAAGUUCGUUAUUCUUCAUUCUUUUUCUUCUCCGGUGGAUUCAAUUCAAGCUUUUGGUGUUGAUCACAUCCUUUUUCCACGUUUCAAAUGUGUUCUUAUGUCGGGCCACCUCUUAAUCAUCCACUCCUUGCUAUUCUUUUGUUCCGGAGUGCUCAAGAUAUCUCGAAGAUUCAUGUUUCUACUCUGCUUUCGUUCAAGAUCUUUCGAGGAUGUUAUCUCAUUCAAGCCAUUUAAAUCAACCGGCGCAAUCUAUAUUUUAAAUCAUCAACAUUGUUUCUCUUGAGUGGGCCCUAACCCACAGGUGUUUUCCCAGGAUCUUACCUGACUCUUCUUAUUUUCCCGGAGCUAUCCUUAAUUCGUUUCAAAGUUUGACGUAAGUAUGAAUUAUCAUCAGUCAAAUGCCUUUCUCCAAGAUCUUUAAAAAUCUUUUCAUUGUUGGCUCAACCUUUCCAUCUUUUUUCAUUCCGGUGUGCCUCAAUAAUUCAUGGUGGUGUUUCUCCUCGUCAUUCUCAACAUUUGAAGACCGAAGAAGAGUUUCUCUCAUUCUUGCUCCAUUCUCUUCAAGAUUCGUCAUUCUAGCUUGUUGCCAUCCUCUCAUAGUUGUUUUUGGAUUGGGAAAAUUCUUUUCACCUAUCUGGAGCAAUUCAGGAGUCUUCUCAGUUUGAUUAUCUGGAGUCCAUAAAUUCAGGUUUAUUCAUUCUCAGUUGUCAGCUCUUAUUCUCCAAAUCUAACCGGUGCAUCAUUCAAGUAUAUUCUCUAAUCAGUUCAUGAUCUCUUUGCUCUCUUGUAUCUAAAUCCUCUCAAGCAUCCUCGUUCAUUUUAUAAUUCUUCCCGGUGUUUCUUUAUCUUCUUGUCGUUCAUUUUCAAUUCUUUCGUUCUUUCAAAUCCUACGGUGGAUCAUUGAAGGCCUCUUCAAGUUUGCGCAAUAUCUAUCUUAAUCCUUUCUACGAGAAUAAGUAGUAUGCCAAAUCCGUUGCUUGUCAUCAAUUUAAAUUGGUGAAGGAUAAGCAUAAUGUAAUUCUUAUUCUUGUUUCAUCCAAGAGAUUAAUUCCUUAUUCCGGGGGUUCAGCAAAUUCUUUGUUUCACUUGCUUUCAUCUUUUCUUUUCCGGAGUUCCAAGCUCUAAUUAUCACGGAGAUCCAUCUAAAUCAUUGCAAGGAUUCACCUAGUGUUUUCAAUUUCUCUUUCUUUUGUUAUCGGAGUUCUUCAUGGAGGCUCGACAUGGUGUUUCAUCAAGGAAUUAAUUCCUUCUCGAAGUUUUCAUCGAGAUUCAUUUCUAGGGAGCUCAAGUAUUUCUUCAUCUUGCAAUCCAGAGUGCAAUUUCUUUCUACCGUAUCUUUGGAGGUGGUAUUAUGCCAUUCUUGAUAAUUUGAGUUCAUGUUUAAUGAUUCACAUGUUAUUAAGAAUGAGGUAUUCUAAAUCCAUCAAUCUCAUCAUUGGAGUUACCUUGGGUUAUAUUUCUCCUAAAGCUUUCCCUAAGGAUUGUUGCUAUCUUUGGUGCUUAUAAAUGAUCCAAGUUCUUCUUUAUCCUCCCGGUGAAAUAUUUUCUCGUCUCCUUGGUCAUACCAAUCCAAUUCUUUUUCCCGUGAGUGGCAGGUUGUCACCUCAUAAUUUGAGAUGUAUUCCAUAAGACCAUAUCAAGCUUACUCUUUUCGUUGUUGGUUUUCCAACAACUCCGUUCGACACUUCUCCUAAGGAUACCUUUUCAACCUCUUUCGUAGCAGAAGUUGGCAUUUUCUUCUACAUUCUUUUAUCUCAAUGAUCUAUCUUCUAUUUCUCUCUUCCGGAGGCAUUGUGAUGUUGCUCUCUUCAACCCAUCAUCUUGGUUGUCAAGAUCAUGUUCAGUUCCUUCCAUUUUCAGUCGAGCGCCCGGGCUCUCCCGACGCCUAGCGCUGCCCGUCGCCGGCUUGCUCCGCCGCCUGCCUCCGCGCCCCGCGCCGCAACCUCGCCGGAGUUGCUGCUCGUGCCGCCGGAGUCGUGCCACCAUCGCCGGAGUGCCUCCCCGCCGGAGUUCCGCACCUCGCCGGUCCUACCCGUCUUGCCGUCACCCGGAUCCGGCGUUCUCCAGCCAGAUCAGGCAGCCCCCGCGCCGUCCCCGGCCUUCCCCGUCAUCUCUUCGUCGCCGCCGUCGCGUUCGUUCCCUGGAUCGGGAGGACGACGCCCCCAGCGCCGCCCGCGUGGGCCCCGCCCGAGUCCGGCCCAGCUCGCCAGCCUCCUUCCUCUCCGUUUUGAGCCGAAGCCCAUGGGUGAGCCACCAUUAUUCCCUGCCCCGUGCGCGACAUAUUAUCUUACGCCCAGUUCUAGACUUGGCGAUUUUCACUAAGUCCCCGAGUUUUCCAGAUUAAAUGUCCAUGUUCAUCAUGUCAUAACUUUGCACCCAUAGCUCCGAUUUAUGCGUGUAGCAUAUCAAAUUGUUCGCCUCAGAGAGCACAUCAUUUCAUCUCAUUGCAUCAUUUUCAUUUGAGCUCAUCUUGAUGCCCGAAAUGCUGUUGGAAGAGUGCUAUUCGAGUUUAUUGUCAGAUCUGCUGCACCAAAUAGCUAUUUGUCAUUUUUGCCAUGUUUAAUGUGUGCAUGAUAUGCUCAUGAGCUCUACUUGUGUUUUGUUAUAUGUUUUGCCAUCUUUACAGAGGUGAUAUCCAUGUAUUUUUGUGAUAUGUGUGGUGACUAGCACAAGCUUGCAAAGUAGUAUACUCGUUAAUGCUGAUUUCAGGGACUUAGCAUUUCCACUAAGUCUUUGGUCUGUUUUUAUCAAUAUGCCAUAUGUUCAUGUUGUUUCCUAGUGAUCCGUGCCUAUUUUGAGGAUGAUCAGUAAGGAUGUUUUGUUAAUCUUGUGGUGCUCUAUCCAUCCAUGUCUUUGUUUGCAAUUAUGGAGCACCCUAGCUUGAGUCAGUCGAGCUCUACUUUUGCUAUUUCGUGAAUCUGGGCAGAUUGUCUACUUGUUAGCGAUUUUGUCGAGGAUGUUGUAGUUCAUUCGUGCAUGAUAUGUUGUUGUUCUUGCCAUGUCUAGCUUGUACAAGGUGUAUUAUUGACGGGUGUAUGCUUAGUUUGUCAUGCCUUGCUCUGUAGUGAGUGCAUCGAGCUCGUGAACAUGCCUACUUGUUAACAGAUUUGCAUGUUCCAGUUUUUCACUAAGUGUGUAAUCUGAUUAUGUUUUUGCCAUGUUCACAUGCUUGCAAUUGUAUUUUAUGAUCCCUUUUGGCUCAAGGUCACUAAGGGACUUUUGUUAAGCUCUUUGAGUAGCUCCAUGCCAUGCCUUGCUUUGCCAUGUUAAAUGCCUGUAGCAUAUAGUUUUCAUGCUCCAAAGUGUGCUACCUGAUCUGAAAUUGCAGACUAGUGUUAAUUUCACUAAGUCUGAAACAUGUUUAUCAAUUGCACUUUUGCCAUGCUUGUUUGAACCUGUUAAUGGAUGAAUGGGCCGUAGCUCAGCGUUCAUCUUUUGUCAAGCAUCAUGAGUGGAUCUUUUACAUGUAUUUUGUUGCCAUGUUUGUGUGCUGUAGCAUAUUUAUCUUGACACAUUUAGAUGACUACUUGCUGUUUAUCGCAGACCGGUGCCAUAUUUGUUUUGCUUGCCAUUUCGAAACCGUGCAUCCGAUUCCGGUGAUCUUUAUAUCGAUUUCAACCGAAAUCACCUCACCUUUCCAGUGGCACACUUGGAUUUCCAAGUUGAGGCUAGGUUCAAUUAUUCCUUUGCAAAUCAUGCAUAUGCAUCGCAUAACGCAUCCCGCAAAUCAUACCAUGUUCAUGUGUUGGUUGUUUACUAUGUUGUGUGCUUCUUUCCAGUGUUUGCUUCUUUGGGUUGGGUUCGGUAACGUCGCGUUUGUGAGGACCCGUUCAUCUACGUUCGUUUGUCUUCUUCAUGGACUCCUUCCUCCUUGCGGGAUUUCAGGCAAGAUGAUCAUACCCUCGAAAUCACUUCUAUCUUUGCUUGAUAGUUGCUCGCUCUUUUACUAUGCCUAUGCUGUGAUACCUACCACUUGCUUAUCAUGCCUCCCAUAUUGUUGAACCAAGCCUCUAACCCACCUUGUCCUAGCAAACCGUUGUUUGGCUAUGUUACCGCUUUGCUCAGCCCCUCUUAUAGCGGUGUUAGUUGCAAGUGAAGAUUGAAGUUUGUUCCUUGUUGGAACAUGGAGAUGUUGUUCCUUGUUGGAACAUGUUUUACUUGUUGGGAUAUCACAAUAUAUCUUAUUUAGUUAAUGCAUCUAUAUACUUGGUAAAGGGUGGAAGGCUCUGCCUUAUGCCUGGUGUUCUGUUCCACUCUUGCCGCCCUAGUUUUCGUCAUAUCGGUGUUAUGUUCCCGGAUUUUGCGUUCUUUACGCGGUUGAGUAAUAAUGGGAACCCCUUGAUAGUUUGCCUUGAAUAAAACUCCUCCAGCAAGGCCCAACAUUGGUUUUACCAUUCGCCACCUAGCCCUUUUUUCCCUUGGGAGUCACGCAUCCCGAGGGUCAUCUUUAUUUUAACCACCNNNNNNNNNNNNNNNNNNNNNNNNNNNNNNNNNNNNNNNNNNNNNNNNNNNNNNNNNNNNNNNNNNNNNNNNNNNNNNNNNNNNNNNNNNNNNNNNNNNNNNNNNNNNNNNNNNNNNNNNNNNNNNNNNNNNNNNNNNNNNNNNNNNNNNNNNNNNNNNNNNNNNNNNNNNNNNNNNNNNNNNNNNNNNNNNNNNNNNNNNNNNNNNNNNNNNNNNNNNNNNNNNNNNNNNNNNNNNNNNNNNNNNNNNNNNNNNNNNNNNNNNNNNNNNNNNNNNNNNNNNNNNNNNNNNNNCAGUGCUUCUCUAAGUGUUGGUCCAACUGAGCAAUGUGCGGAGCUACCAGGGGCAACUCUGGGCUAGCCCACCCGAUGUCUGGCUCAUCCGAUGUGCCCUGAUAACGAUGUUGGGGAACGUAGCAAUAAUUCAAAAUUUUCCUACGUGUCACCAAGAUCAAUCUAUGGAGUCAUCUAGCAACGAGGGAGGAGUGGAACUACAUACCCUUGUAGAUCGCGCGUGGAAGCGUUCAAGAGAACGGGGUUGAUGGAGUCGUACUCGUUGUGAUCCAAAUCACCGAUGAUCCUAGCGCCGAAUGGACGGCACCUCCGCGUUCAACACACGUACGGAGCAGCGACGUCUCCUCCCUCUUGAUCCAGCAAGGGGGGAGGAGAGGUUGAUGGAGAUCCAGCGGCACGAUGGCGUGGUGGUGGAAGUAGCGGGAUUCCAACAGGGUUUCGCCAAGCGCUGCGGGAGGAGGGAGAUGUGUCAUGGGAGGGAGAGGGAGGCGCCAGGACUCAGGUGCUGCUGCCCUCCCUUCCCCCCACUAUAUAUAGGGCCAAGGGAGAGGGGGGCGCAGCCUUGGCCCUUCCUCCAAGGAAGGGUGCGGCCAAGGGAGGAGUCCAUCCCCCCCCAAGGCACCUAGGAGGUGCCUUCCCCUUUUAGGACUCUUCCUUUCUUGCUCUCUUGGCGCAUGGGCCUCUUGGGGCUGGUGCCCUUGGCCCAUACAGGCCAAGGCGCACCCCCUACAGCCCAUGUGGCCCCCCGGGGCAGGUGGCCCCACCCGGUGGACCCCCGGGACCCUUCCGGUGGUCCUGGUACAAUACCGGUGACCCCGAAACUUGUCCCGAUAGCCAAAAUAGCACUUCCUAUAUAUAAUUCUUUACCUCCGGACCAUUCUGGAACUCCUCUAACGUUCGGGAUCUCAUUCGGGACUCAGAACAACUUUCGGGUUACCGCAUACUUAUAUCUCUAUAACCCUAGCGUCACCGAACCUUAAGUGUGUAGACCCUACGGGUUCGGGAGACAUGCAGACAUGACCGAGAUGACUCUCCGGUCAAUAACCAACAGCGGGAUCUGGAUACCCAUGUUGGCUCCCACAUGUUCCACGAUGAUCUCAUCGGAUGAACCACGAUGUCGAGGAUUCAAUCAAUCCCGCAUACAAUUCCCUUUGUCUAUCGGUAUGUUACUUGCCCGAGAUUCGAUCGUCGGUAUCCCGAUACCUUGUUCAAUCUCGUUACCGGCAAGUCUCUUUACUCGUUCUGUAAUACAUCAUCCCGUGAUCAACUCCUUGAUCACAUUGUGCACAUUAUGAUGAUGUCCUACCGAGUGGGCCCAGAGAUACCUCUCCAUUUACACGGAGUGACAAAUCCCAGUCUCGAUUCGUGCCAACCCAACAGACACUUUUGGAGAUACCUAUAGUGUACCUUUAUAGCCACCCAGUUACGUUGUGACGUUUGGCACACCCAAAGCACUCCUACGGUAUCCGGGAGUUGCACAAUCUCAUGGUCUAAGGAAAUGAUACUUGACAUUAGAAAAGCUUUAGCAUACGAACUACAUGAUCUUGUGCUAGGCUUAGGAUUGGGUCUUGUCCAUCACAUCAUUCUCCCAAUGAUGUGAUCCCGUUAUCAACGACAUCCAAUGUCCAUGGUCAGGAAACCGUAACCAUCUAUUGAUCCACGAGCUAGUCAACUAGAGGCUUACUAGGGACAUGGUGUUGUCUAUGUAUCCACACAUGUAUCUGAGUUUCCUAUCAAUACAAUUCUAGCAUGGAUAAUAAACGAUUAUCAUGAACAAGGAAAUAUAAUAAUAAUCAAUUUAUUAUUGCCUCUAGGGCAUAUUUCCAACAGUCUCCCACUUGCACUAGAGUCAAUAAUCCAGUUCACAUCACUAUGUGAUUAACACUCAAGGUCACAUCCCCAUGUGACUAACACCCAAAGAGUUUACUAGAGUCAAUAAUCUAGUUCACAUUACCAUGUGAUUAACACUCGAUGAGUUCUGGGUUUGAUCAUGUUAUGCUUGUGAGAGAUGUUAUAGUCAACGGGUCUGAAUCUUUCAUAUCCGUAUGUACUUCGCAAAUCUCUAUGUCAUCUCCCAGAUGCAGCUACCACGUUCUAUUUGGAGCUAUUCCAAAUAACUGUUCUACUAUACGAAUCCAGUUUACUACUCAGAAUAAUCUGGAUUAGUGUCAAAGUUUGCAUCGGCGUAACCCUUUACGACGAACUCUUUUAUCACCUCCAUAAUCGAGAAAAUUCCUUAGUCCACUAGUUACUAAGGAUAACUUUGACCGCUGUCCUGUGAUCCAUUCUUGGAUCACUCUUGUACCCCUUGACUGACUCAUGGCAAGGCACACUUCAGGUGCGGUACAUAGCAUAGCAUACUAUAGAGCCUACGUCUUAAGCAUAGGGGAUGACCUUCGUCCUUUCUCUCUAUUCUGUCGUGGUCGAGCUUUAAGUCUUAACUUCAUACCUUACAACUCAGGCAAGAACUCCUUCUUUGACUGAUCCAUCUUGAACACCUUCAAGAUCAUGUCAAGGUAUGUGCUCAUUUGAAAGUACCAUUAAGCGUUUUGAUCUAUCCUUAUAGAUCUUAAUGCUUAAUACUCAAGUAGCCUAAUCCAGGUUUUCCAUUGAAAAACACUUUUCAAAUAACUCUGCAUGCUUUCCAGAAAUUCUACAUCAUUUCUGAUCAACAAUAUGUCAACAACAUAUACUCAUCAGAAAUUCUAUAGUGCUCCCACUCACUUCUUUGGAAAUACAAGUUUCUCAUAAACUUUGUAUAAACCCAAAAUCUUUGAUCAUCUCAUCAAAGCAUACAUUCCAGCUCCGAGAUGCUUACUCCAGUCCUUAGAAGGAUUGCUGGAGCUUUGCAUACUUAUUAGCAUCUUUCAGGAUUGACAAAACCUUCCGGUUUGUAUCACAUACAACCUUUCCUCAAAAAACAUCGAGGAAACAAUGUUUUGACAUCCUAUCUGCAAGAUUUCAUAAAUAAUGCAGUAAUCGCUAAUAUAAUUCCAACAGACUCUUAGCAUCGCAACGGGUGAGAAAGUCUCAUCGCAGUCAACUCCUUGAACUUUUCGGAAAACAUCUUAACGACAAGUCGAGCUUUCUUAAUGGUGAUACCUACCAUCAUUGUCCGUCUUCCUUUUAAAAAAUCCAUCUGUACUCAACAGCCUUACGACCAUCGAGCCGUUCCGCCAAAGUCUACACUUUGUUUUCAUACAUGGAUCCUCUCUCGGAUUUUAUGGCCUCGAGCCAUUUAUCGGAAUCCGGGCCCACCAUUGCUUCUCCAUAGCUUGUAGGUUCAUUGUUGUCUAGCAACAUGACUUCCAAGACAGAAUUAGGUACCACUCUGAAGUAGUACGCAUCCUUGUCAUCCCACGAGGUUUGUUAGUGACUUGAUCUGAAGUUUCAUGAUCACUAUCAUAAGCUUCCACUUCAAUUGGUGUAGGUUCCACAGGAACAACUUCCUGUGCCCUGCCACACACUAGUUGAAGAGACGGUUCAAUAACCUCAUCAAGUCUCCACCAUCCUCCCACUCAAUUCUUUCGAGAGAAACUUUUCCUCGAGAAAGGACCCGAUUUUAGAAACAAUCCGUUAUUGCUUUCGGAUCUGAGACAGGAGGUAUACCCAACUGUUUUGGGUGUCCUAUGAAGAUGCAUUUAUCUGUUUUGGGUUCGAGCUUAUCAGCCUGAAACUUUUCCACAUAAGCGUCGCAGCCCCAAACUUUUAAGAAAUGACAGCUUAGGUUUCUCUAAACCAUAGUUCAUAUGGUGUCGUCUCAACGGAAUUGCGUGGUGCCCUAUUUAAAGUGAAUGCGGUUGUCUCUAAUGCCUAACCCAUAAAUGAUAGUGUAAUUCGAUAAGAGACAUCAUGAUAUGCACCAUAUCCAAUAGGGUGCAUUUAUGAUGUUCGGACACACCAUCACACUAUGGUGUUCCAGGCGAUAUUAGUCGUGAAACAAUUUCCACAAUGUCUUAAUUGUGUGCCAAACUCGUAACUCACAUAUUCAUCUCUAUGAUCACAUCAUAGACAUUUUAUCCUCUUGUCACGACGAUCUUCAACUUCACUCUGAAAUUACUUGAACCUUUCAAUAAUUCAGACUUGUGUUUCAUGAAGUAAAUACACUCAGCAUCUACUCAAAUCAUCUGUGAAGUAAGAACAUAACGAUAUCCACAGCGUGCCUCAGCACUCAUUGGACUGCACACAUCAAAAUGUAUUACUUCCAACAAGUUCCAUUUUACUGAAAACGAGGCUUUCAGUCAUCUUGCCCAUGUGGUAUGAUUUGCAUGUCUCAAGUGAUUCAAAAAUCAAGUGAGUCCAAACGGUCCAUUUGCAUAGAGUUUCUUCAUGCAUAUCUACCAACAAACAUGGUUCGCAUGUCUCAAUCCUUUCAAAAAUGAGUGAGUCCAAAGAUCCAUCAACAUGGAGCUUCUUCAUGCGUUUUAUACCAAUAUGACUCAAGUGGCAGUGCCACAAGUAUGUGGUACUAUCAUUACUAUCUUAUAUCUUUUGGCAUGAACAUGUGUAUCACUACGAUCGAGAUUCAAUAAACCAUUCAUUUUAGGUGCAAGACCAUUGAAGGUAUUAUUCAAAUAAAAAGAGUAACCAUUAUUUUCCUUAAAGAAUAACCGUAUUGCGAUAAACAUAAUCCAAUCAUGUCUAUGCUCAACGCAAAAACCAAAUAACAAUUAUUUAGGUUUAACACCAAUCUCGAUGGUAGAGGGAGCAUGCGAUGCUUGAUCACAUCAACCUUGGAAACACUUCCAACACAUAUCGUCAUCUCACCUUUAGCUAGUCUCCGUUUAUUCCAUAGCCUUUUAUUUCGAGUUACCAACACUUAGCAACCGAACCGGUAUCUAAUACCCUGGUGCUACUAGGAGUAAUAGUAAAGUACACAUUAAUAUAAUAUAUAUCCAAUAUACUUCUGUCGACCUUGCCUGCCUUCUCAUCUACCAAGUAUCUAGGGUAGUUCUGCUUCAGUGACCGUUCCCCUCAUUACAGAAGCACUUAGUCUCGGGUUUGGGUUCAACCUUGGGUUUCUUCACUAGAGCAGCAACUGAUUUGUCGUUUCAUGAAGUAUCCCUUCUUGCCCUUGCCCUUCUUGAAACUAGUGGUUUUACUAACCAUCAACAAUUGAUGCUCCAACUUGAUUUCUACUUUCGCGGUGUCAAACAUCGCGAGUUGCUCAAGGAUCAUCAUGUUUAUCCCUGAUAUGUUAUAGUUCAUCACGAAGCUCUAAUAGCUUGGUGGCAGUGACUAUGGAGAACCAUCACUGUCUCAUCUGGAAGAUUAACUCCCACUCGAUUCAAGCGAUUGUAGUACUCAGACAAUCUGAGCACAUGCUCAACGAUCGAGCUUUUCUCCCUUAGUUUGCAGGCUUAAGAAACUUGUCAGAGGUCUCAUACCUCUUGACGUGGGCAUUAGUCUGAAAUCCCAAUUUCAGUCUUUGGAACAUCUCAUAUGUUCUAUGACGUUUCAAAACUGUCUUUGGUGCCACAAUUUUAAACCGUUAGCAUCACACACUGAACUAUCACGUAGUCAUCAAAACGUGUAUAUCAGAUGUUUCGUAACAUCUAUAGACGACGCUCGAGGUUCAGCACACCGAGCGGUGCAUUAAGGACAUAAGCCUUCUGUGCAGCAAUGAGGACAAUCCUCAGUUUACAGACCCAGUCCGCGUAAUUGCUACUAUCAACUUUCAACUAAAUUUUCUCUAGGAACAUAUCUUAGUAGAACUAAAGCGUAAGCUACGACAUUAUUUGCAAAGACCUUUUGACUAUGCUCAUGAUAAUUAAGUUCAUCUGAUUAUUUAAUGAACUCCCACUUAGAUAGACAUCCCUCUAGUCAUCUAAGUGAUACAUGAUCCGAAUCGACUAGACCGUGUCCGAUCAUCACGUGAGACGGACUAGUCAUCAACGGUGAACAUCUCCAUGUUGAUCGUAUCUACCAUGCGACUCAUGCUCAACCUUUCGGUCUCUUGUGUUCCGAGGCCAUGUCUGUGCAUGCUAGGCUCGUUAAGUUAACCUAAGUGUUUCGCAUGUGUUCUGAGGCCAUGUCUGUACAUGCCAGGCUCGUCAACACCCGUUGUAUUCGAACGUAAGAAUCUAUACACCCGAUCAUCACGUGGUGCUUCGAAACGACGAACUUUCACAAUGGUGCACAGUUAGGGGGAACACUUUCUUGAAAUUAUUAUGAGGGGUCGUCUUAUUUACUACCGUCGUUCUAAGUAAACAAGAUGCAAAAACAUGAUAAACAUCACAUGCAAUCAAAUAGUGACAUGAUAUGGCCAAUAUCAUAUUGCUCCUUUUGAUCUCCAUCUUCGGGGCUCCAUGAUCAUUAUCGUCACCAGCAUGACACCAUGAUCUCCAUCAUCAUGAUCUCCAUCAUCGUGUCUUCAUGAAGUUGUCUCGCCAACUAUUACUUCUACUACUACAGCUAACGGUUAGCAAUAAAGUAAAGUAAUUACAUGGCGUUGUUCAAUGACACGCAGGUCAUAUAAUAAAUAAAGACAACUCCUAUGGCUCCUGCCGGCUGUCAUACUCAUCGACAUGCAAGUCGUGAUUCCUAUUACAAGAACAUGAUCAAUCUCAUACAUCACAUAUAUCAUUCAUCACAUCCUUUGGCCAUAUCACAUCACAUAGCAUACCCUGCAAAAACAAGUUAGACGUCCUCUAAUUGUUGUUUGCAUGUUUUACGUGGCUGCUAUGGGUUUCUAGCAAGAACGUUUCUUACCUACGCAAAAACCACAACGUGAUAUGCCAAUUGCUAUUUACCCUUCAUAAGGACCCUUUUCAUCGAAUCCGAUCCGACUAAAGUGGGAGAGACAGACACCCGCUAGCCACCUUAUGCAACUAGUGCAUGUCAGUUGGUGGAACCAGUCUCACGUAAGAGUACGUGUAAGGUCGGUCCGGGCCGCUUCAUCCCACAAUGCCACCGAAUCAAGAUUGGACUAGUAACGGUAAGCAUAUUUAACAAAAUCAAUGCCCACAACUACUUUGUGUUCUACUCGUGCAUAGAAACUACGCAUAGACCUAGCUCAUGAUGCCACUGUUGGGGAACGUAGCAAUAAUUCAAAAUUUUCCUACGUGUCACCAAGAUCAAUCUAUGGAGUCAUCUAGCAACGAGGGAGGAGUGGAUCUACAUACCCUUGUAGAUCGCGUGUGGAAGCGUUCAAGAGAACGGGGUUGAUGGAGUCGUACUCGUCGUGAUCCAAAUCACCGAUGAUCCUAGCGCCGAACGGACGGCACCUCCGCGUUCAACACACGUACGGAGCAGCGACGUCUCCUCCUUCUUGAUCCAGCAAGGGGGGAGGAGAGGUUGAUGGAGAUCCAGCAGCACGACAGCGUGGUGGUGGAAGUAGCGGGAUUCCAACAGGGCUUCGCCAAGCGCUGCGGGAGAAGGGAGAUGUGUCAUGGGAGGGAGAGGGAGGCGCCAGGACUCAGGUUGCUGCCCUCCCUUCCCCCCACUAUAUAUAGGGCCAAGGGAGAGGGGGGCGCAGCCUUGGCCCUUCCUCCAAGGAAGGGUGCGGCCAAGGGAGGAGUCCAUCCCCCCAAGGCACCUAGGAGGUGCCUUCCCCUUUUAGGACUCUUCCUUUCUUGCUCUCUUGGCGCAUGGGCCUCUUGGGGCUGGUGCCCUUGGCCCAUACAGGCCAAGGCGCACCCCCUACAGCCCAUGUGGCCCCCCGGGGCAGGUGGCCCCACCCGGUGGACCCCCGGGACCCUUCCGGUGGUCCUGGUACAAUACCGAUGACCCCGAAACUUGUCCCGAUAGCCAAAAUAGCACUUCCUAUAUAUAAUUCUUUACCUCCGGACCAUUCUGGAACUCCUCUAACAUUCGGGAUCUCAUUCGGGACUCCGAACAACUUUCGGGUUACCGCAUACUUAUAUCUCUAUAACCCUAGCAUCACCGAACCUUAAGUGUGUAGACCCUACGGGUUCGGGAGACAUGCAGACAUGACCGAGAUGACUCUCCGGUCAAUAACCAACAGCGGGAUCUGGAUACCCAUGUUGGCUCCCACAUGUUCCACGAUGAUCUCAUCGGAUGAACCACGAUGUCGAGGAUUCAAUCAAUCCCGCAUACAAUUCCCUUUGUCUAUCGGUAUGUUACUUGCCCGAGAUUCGAUCGUCGGUAUCUCGAUACCUUGUUCAAUCUCGUUACCGGCAAGUCUCUUUACUCGUUCUGUAACACAUCAUCCCGUGAUCAACUCCUUGAUCACAUUGUGCACAUUAUGAUGAUGUCCUACCGAGUGGGCCCAGAGAUACCUCUCCAUUUACAUGGAGUGACAAAUCCCAGUCUCGAUUCGUGCCAACCCAAUAGACACUUUCGGAGAUACCUGUAGUGUACCUUUAUAGCCACCCAGUUACGUUGUGACGUUUGGCACACCCAAAGCACUCCUACGGUAUCCGGGAGUUGCACAAUCUCAUGGUCUAAGGAACUGAUACUUGACAUUAGAAAAGCUUUAGCAUACGAACUACAUGAUCUUGUGCUAGGCUUAGGAUUGGGUCUUGUCCAUCACAUCAUUCUCCCAAUGAUGUGAUCCCGUUAUCAACGACAUCCAAUGUCCAUGGUCAGGAAACCGUAACCAUCUAUUGAUCAACGAGCUAGUCAACUAGAGGCUUACUAGGGACAUGGUGUUGUCUAUGUAUCCACACAUGUAUCUGAGUUUCCUAUCAAUACAAUUCUAGCAUGGAUAAUAAACGAUUAUCAUGAACAAGGAAAUAUAAUAAUAAUCAAUUUAUUAUUGCCUCUAGGGCAUAUUUCCAACAAACGAGAUAUGUGCAGCUCCUAUCGGGAUUUGUUGGCACAUCUGGGUGGCUUUGCUGGUCUUGUUUUAUCUUUGUUGAAAUGUCUUGUAACCGGGAUUCCAGGUCUGAUCGGGUCUUCCCGCUAGAAGGAAUAUCCUUCAUUGACCGUGAGAGCUUGUGAUGGGCUAAGUUGGGACACCCCUGCAGGGAUUUGAACUUUCGAAAGCCGUGCCCGCGAUUAUGGGCAGAUAGGAAUUUGUUAAUGUCCGGUUGUAGAAAACCUGAAGUUGACCUUAAUUACAAUACAUCAACCGCGUGUGUUACCGUGAUGGUCUCUUUCCGGCAGAGUCCGGGAAGUGAACACGGUGUUGGAGUUAUGCUUGACGUAGGUUGUUUUAGGAUCACUUCUUGAUCAUACUUUUAUCGACCGUGCUUUGCCUUCUCUUCUUGCUCUCAUUUGCGUAUGUUAGCCACCAUAUAUGCUAGUCGCUUGCUGCAGUUCCACCUCAUACUUUUACCCUACCUAUAAGCUUAAAUAGUCUUGAUCGCGAGGGUGCGAGAUUGCUGAGUCCCCCGUGACUCACAGAUACUUCCAAAACCAGCUUGCAGGUGCCGAUGAGCCCGUACAAAUGACGCAACCAAGCUCAGGAGGAGCUCGAUGAAGAUCUUGUCCUUUGUGUUGUUUCGUACUAGUUGAUCAGUAGUGGAGCCCAGUUGGGGUCGAUCGGGGACCUUGUCUCUUUUGGGGUUCUUCUUUUAUUUUGGUUCCGUAGUCAGACCUUGAUUGUAUUUGGAUGUUGUAAUGCUUUAUUCAUGUAUUGUGUGAAGUGGCAUUGUAAGCCAUCUAUGUAUCUCUUUCCCUUAUGUAUUACAUGGGUUGUGUGAAGAUUACCUCACUUGCGACAUUGUUUUCAAUGCGGUUAUGCCUCUAAGUUGUGCUUCGACAUGUGGGAGAUAUAGCCGCAUCGAGAGCAUUACACGAGAUGCUUGCACCAGUCCAUAGAUGGAUCGCUGGAGCUUGUAUAUUUUGUUAGCACCUUUAGGAUUGACAAAACCUUCUGGUUGCAUCAUAUACAACUCUUCUUUAAUAAAUCCAUUAAGGAAUGCAGUUUUGUUUAUCCAUUUUCCAGAUUUCAUAAAAUGCGGUAAUUGCUAUCAUGAUUCGGACAGACUUAAGCAUAGAUACGAGUGAGAAACUCUCAUCAUAGUCAACACCUUGGACUUGUCGAAAACCUUUUGCGACAAUUCUAGCUUUGUAGAUAGUAACACUACUAUCAGCGUCCGUCUUCCUCUUGAAGAUCCAUUUAAUCUCAAUGGCUCACCAAUCAACGAGCAAGUCAAUCAAAGUCCAUACUUUGUUCUUAUAUAUAUGGAUCACAUCUCAGAUUUCAUGGCCUUAAACCAUUUUGCGAAAUCUGGGCUCAUCAUCGCUUCCUCAUAGUUUGUAGGUUCGUCAUGGUCAAGUAACAUGACCUCCAGAACAGGAUCACCGUACCACUCUGGUGCGGAUCUCACUCUGGUUGAUCUACGAAGUUCUGUAGUAACUUGAUCUGAAGUUACAUGAUCAUCAUCAUUAGCUUCCUCACUAAUUGGUGUAGUAGUCACAGGAACAGAUUUCUGUGAUGAACUACUUUCCAAUAAGGGAGCAGGUACAGUUACCUCAUCAAGUUCUACUUUCCUCCCACUCACUUCUUUCGAGAGAAACUCCUUCUCUAGAAAGGAUCCAUUCUUAGCAACGAAUGUCUUGCCUUCGGAUCUGUGAUAGAAGGUGUACCCAACUUUCUCCUUUGGGUAUCCUAUGAAGACACAUUUCUCCGAUUUGGGUUUGAGCUUAUCAGGAUGAAACUUUUUCACAUAAGCAUCACAACCCCAAACUUUAAGAAACGACAACUUUGGUUUCUUGCCAAACCACAGUUCAUAUUGUGUCGUCUCAAUGGACUUAGAUGGUGCCCCUUUUUAACGUGAAUGCAGAUGUCUUUAAUGCAUGACCCCAAAACGAUAGUGGUAAAUCGGUAAGAAACAUCAUAGAUUGUACAAUAUCAAAUAAAGUACGGUUAUGACAUUCGGACACACCAUUAUGCUGUGGUGUUCCAGGUGGCACGAAUUUGUGAAACUAUUCCACAUUGUUUUAAUUGAAGACCAAACUCGUAACUCGAAUAUUUGUCUCCGCGAUCAGAUCGUAGAAACCUUAUUUUCUUGUCACUAUGAUUUUUAACUUCACUCUGAAAUUCUUUGAACUUUUCAAAUGUUUCAGACUUGUGUUUCAUCAAGUAGAUAUACUCAUAUCUGCUCAAAUCAUCUGUGAAGAUCAGAAAAUAAUGAUACCUGUCGCGAGCCUCAAUAUUCAUCGGACCACAUACAUCAGUAUGUAUGAUUUCCAACAAAUCUUUUGCUCUCUCCAUUGUUCCGAAGAACGGAGUCUUAGUCAUCUUGCCCAUGAGGCAUGGCUCGCAAGCAUCAACUGAUUCCUAAUCAAAUGAUUCCAAAAGUCCAUCAGCAUGGAUUUUCUUCAUGCGCUUUACACCAAUAUGACCUAAAUGGCAGUGCCACAAAUAAAUUGCACUAUCAUUAUUAACUUUGCAUCUUUUGGCUUCAAUAUUAUGAAAAUUUGUAUCACCACGAUCGAGAUCCAACAAACCUUUUUCAUUGGGUGUAUGACCAUAGAAGGUUUUAUUCAUGUAAACAGAACAACAAUUAUUCUCUAACUUACAUGAAUAACCGUAUUGCAAUAAACGUGAUCCAAUCAUAUUCAUGCUCAACACAAACACUAAAUAACAUUUAUUUUAGGUUUAACACUAAUCCCGAAAGUAUAGGGAGUGUGCGAUGAUGAUCAUAUCAAUCUUGGAACCAUUUCCAAUACACAUCGUUACUUCACCCUUAACUAGUCUCUGUUCAUUCUGCAACUCUCGUUUAGAGUUACUACUCUUAGCAACUGAACCAGUAUCAAAUACCGAGGGGUUGCUACGAACACUAGUAAAAUACACAUCAAUAAUCUGUAUAUCAAAUAUACCUUUGUUCACUUUGCCAUCCUUCUUAUCCGCCAAAUACUUGGGGCAAUUCCGCUUCCAGUGACCAGUCCCUUUGCAGUAGAAGCACUUAGUCUCAGGCUUAGGACCAGACUUGGGCUUCUUCACUUGAGCAGCAACUUGCUUGCCAUUCUUCUUGAAGUUCCCCUUCUUCCCUUUGCCCUUUUCUUGAAACUAGUGGUCUUGUCUACCAUCAACACUUGAUAUUUUUCUUGAUUUCUACCUUCAUUGAUUUCAGCAUUAUGAAGAGCUUGGCAAUCGUUUCCGUUAUCCCUUGCAUAUCAUAGUUCAUCACGAAGUUCUACUAACUUGGUGAUGGUGACUAGAGAAUUCUGUCAAUCACUAUCUUAUCUGGAAGAUUAACUCCCACUUGAUUCAAGCGAUUGUAAUACCCAGACAAUCUGAGCACAUGCUCACUGCUUGAGCUAUUCUCCUCCAUCUUUUUAGCUAUAGAACUUGUUGGAGACUUCAUAUCUCGCAACUCGGGUAUUUGCUUGAAAUAUUAACUUCAACUCCUGGAACAUCUCAUAUGGUCCAUGACAUUCAAAACAUCUUUGAAGUCCCUAUUCUAAGCUGUUAAUCAUGGUGCACUAAACUAUCAAGUAGUCAUCAUAUUCAUCUAGACAAACGUUCAUAACGUCUGCCUCUACUCCUGCAAUAGGUCUGUCACCUAGCGGUGCAUCAAAGACAUAAUUCUUCUGUGCAGCAAUGAGGAUAAUCCUCAGAUCACGGAUCCAAUCCGCAUCAUUGCUACUAACAUUUUUCAACAUAAUUUUUCUCUAGGAACACAAUAAACUGGGAGCAACAUCGCGAGCUAUUGAUCUACAACAUAGAUAUGCUAAUACUACCAGGACUAAGUUCAUGAUAAAUUAAAGUUCAAUUAAUCAUAUUACUUAAGAACUCCCACUUAGAUAGACAUCCCUCUAAUCAUCUAAGUGAUCACGUGAUCCAAAUCAACUAAACCAUAAUCGAUCAUCACGUGAAAUGGAGUAGCUUUCAAUGGUGAACAUCAAUAUGUUGAUCAUAUCUACUAUAUGAUUCAUGCUCGACCUUUCGGUCUCGGUGUUCCGAGGCCAUAUCUUCAUAUGCUAGGCUCAUCAAGUUUAACCUGAGUAUUCUGCGUGUGCAAAACUGGCUUGCACCCGUUGUAGAUGGACGUAGAGCUUAUCACACCUGAUCAUCACGUGGUGUCUGGGCACGACGAACUUUGGCAACGGUGCAUACUUAGGGAGUACACUUUUAUCUUGAAAUUUAGUGAGAGAUCAUCUUAUAAUGCUACCGUCAAUCAAAGCAAGAUAAGAUGCAUAAAAGAUAAACAUCACAUGCAAUCAAUAUAAGUGAUAUGAUAUGGCCAUCAUCAUCUUGUGCUUGUGGUCUCCAUCUCCGAAGCACCGUCAUGAUCACCAUCGUCACCGGCGCGACACCUUGAUCACCAUCGUCGCAUCGUUGUCGUCUCGCCAAUCUUAUGCUUCCACGACUAUCGCUACCGCUUAGUGAUAAAGUAAAGCAUUACAGCGCAAUUGCAUUGCAUACAAUAAAGCGGCAACCAUAUGGCUCCUGCCAGUUGCCGAUAACUCGGUUACAAAACAUGAUCAUCUCAUACAAUAAAAUUUAGCAUCAUGUCUUGACCAUAUCACAUCACAACAUGCCCUGCAAAAACAAGUUAGACGCCCUCUACUUUGUUGUUGCAAGUUUUACGUGGCUGCUACGAGCUUAGCAAGAACCGUUCUUACCUAUGCAUCAAAACCAGAAUGAUAGUUUGUCAAGUAGGUGUUGUUUUAACCUUCGCAAGGACCGGGCGUAGCCACACUCAGUUCAACUAAAGUUGGAGAAACUGACACUCGCCAGCCACCUGUGUGCAAAGCACGUCAGUAGAACCAGUCUCGCGUAAGCGUACGCGUAAUGUUGGUCCGAGUCGCUUCAUCCAACAAUACUGCCGAACCAAAGUAUGACAUGCUGGUAAGCAGUAUGACUUAUAUCGCCCACAACUCACUUGUGUUCUACUCAUGCACAACAUCAACGCAUAAAACCUAGGCUCGGAUGCCACUGUUGGGGAACGUAGUAAUUUCAAAAAAAUUACUACGCACACGCAAGAUCAUGGUGAUGCAUAGCAACAAGAGGGGAGAGUGUUGUCUACGUGCCCUCGUAGACCGGAAGCGGAAGCAUUAGCACAACGCGGUUGAUGUAGUCGUACGUCUUCAAGGCCCGACCAAUCAAGCACCGAAACUACGGCACCUCCGAGUUCUAGCACACGUUCAGCUCGAUGACGAUCCCCGGACUCCGAUCCAGCAGAAUGUCGGGGAAGAGUUCCGUCAGCACGACGGCGUGGUGACGAUCUUGAUGUUCUACUGUCGCAGGGCUUCGCCUAAGCACCACUACAAUAUUAUCGAGGACUAUGGUGGAGGGGGGCACCGCACACGGGUAAGAGAUCAAUGAUCAACUGUUGUUUCUAUGGGGUGCCCCCUUCCCCUGUAUAUAUAGGAGCAGGGGAGGGAGGUGGCCGGCCUAGGAGGAGGGCGCGCCAAGGGGGGAGUCCUACUCCCACCGGGAGUAGGACUCCUCCUUCCCUUGUUGGAGUAGGAGAGAAGGAAAGAGGGGGAGAGGAACAAGGAAAAGUGGGCUGCACCCCUUGUCCAAUUCGGGCCAGAGGGGGGGCGCGCGUCUCCUUCCUUUUGGGCUCUCUCCUCUAUUCUCGUAUGGCCCAAUAAGGCCCGUAUACUCCCCGGCGAAUUCCCGUAACUCUCCAGUACUCCAAAAAAUACCCAAAUCACUUGAAACCUUUCCGAUGUCCGAAUAUAGUCGUCCAAUAUAUCGAUCUUCAUGUCUCAACCAUUUCGAGACUCCUCGUCAUGUCCCUGAUAUCAUCCGGGACUCCGAACUCCUUCGGUACAUCAAAACUCAUAAACUCAUAAUAUAACUAUCAUCGAAACCUUAAGCGUGCGGACCCUACGGGUUCGAGAACUAUGUAGACAUGACCGAGACACGUCUCCGGUCAAUAACCAAUAGCGGAACCUGGAUGCUCAUAUUGGCUCCCACAUAUUCUACAAAGAUCUUUAUCGGUCAGACCGCAUAACAACAUACGUUGUUCCCUUUGUCAUCAGUAUGUUACUUGCCCGAGAUUCGAUCGUCGGUAUCUCAAUACCUAGUUCAAUCUCGUUACCGGCAAGUCUCUUUACUCGUUCCGUAAUACAUCAUCUCGCAACUAACUCAUUAGUCACAAUGCUUGCAAGGCUUAUAGUGAUGUGCAUUGCCGAGAGGGCCCAGAGAUACCUCUCCGACAAUCGGAGUGACAAAUCCUAAUCUCGAAAUACGCCAACCCAACAAGUACCUUCGGAGACACCUGUAGAGCACCUUUAUAAUCACCCAGUUACGUUGUGACGUUUGGUAGCACACAAAGUGUUCCUCCGGUAAACGGGAGUUGCAUAAUCUCAUAGUCAUAGGAACAUGUAUAAGUCAUGAAGAAAGCAGUAGCAACAAACUAAACGAUCAAGUGCUAUGCUAACGGAAUGGGUCAAGUCAAUCACAUCAUUCUCCUAAUGAUGUGAUCCCGUUAAUCAAAUGACAACACAUGUCUAUGGCUAGGAAACAUAACCAUCUUUGAUCAACAAGCUAGUCAAGUAGAGGCAUACUAGUGACACUUUGUUUAUCUAUGUAUUCACACAUGUAUUGUGUUUCUGGUUAAUACAAUUAUAGCAUGAAUAAUAAACAUUUAUCAUGAAAUAAGGAAAUAAAUAAUAACUUUAUUAUUGCCUCUAGGGCAUAUUUCCUUCAGUUUCCCCUUUGGUGCAAAGGGGGCAAGCACAGGCCAAGGCAUCGGGCAAAGGUUGCCAUUCCGGUGCAACGAGACCAAGACCAGCCGGACGGAGGUCACUGUGGAGCCCAAUACGGCGUCAUCACCAAUGCUUUUGGCAGCCGAAGACCACCUUUAGUCAGGAUAACUUGUACUAGAUGUUCCCCUUUAAAAUGGCCAAUUGUUGGCGCCCUUCCCGCUCAAUUAUUUGGGGAGAGGCCCAGGGCUUCUAUAUAUAGAGCUAGCCACCAUAGAGUAGAGGGACCGAGAAAACCUCGAGACAUCGAGAAGAGACCGAGAGAUCUGGUAGAACCCUAGCAGAGAGAGAGAGAGAGAGAGAGAGAGAGAGAGAGAGAGAGAGAAGCGACUGAACUCACCCUAGCAGUUCAUCGCACCAGCUCAAGAACACCUCUCGCGAGGGUGUUCUUCCCUUGUACUGGCCAUCAUCAGCCCCAGAGGCAAUCCACCAUACCACACACUGGAGUAGGGUAUUACACCACAACGGUGGCCCGAACCAGUAUAAACCUCGUGUCUCUUGUGUUGUUCAUCAUUUUCAUCUUAGUUCGCACGAGAGGAUCGAACGUAGAUCGGUAGGGUAGAGAUCUCCGUGCGCACCCCAGUGUUCGAACCUCAAGGGUCUGCCGGAACCCGAAAUCCGACAUUUGGCGCGCCAGGUAGGGGUGCGCCGGAGUCCUUCUUCCUCCGCAUCGCGUUCCGCCGCUACGCCACCCAGAUGUCAAGCAACCCGGCUGCCAACGCCAACCGCUGGGCGGCAUGGCCAGCCCACGCCGUGUCGCCAUCUCAGGGCGACCUCAACCUUGUGCCUCAGGCAGCUCACGCUCCGCAGAGCGCUGCGGGGAGCGGGCGACGUGGCCAGACACCGCCUGCCCUCACGCCACGGCAGGUGCAGGCCGCAGCAAGGGCCUCGAACCACGCCGCUGCCACGACACCAUACACCCGACGGGAGCAGGCGAACUCCAGGGCCGCGCUCACGGUGGCCCGAGAGCUACUACGGUGCCGUUUGCUGGAAGGCGGCCGCGACGUGUUGUUGGAGCGAGUGGCCGAGCUCCUGGACGCCGCCGCCUCAGGAGCGCCCCCUUUUGCAUCCAGCUGCCGCCCCAGAUCCAGGACAGGUCGCACGACGGCAUUAUGCGCGCCCACGCGACUUCAGGCGGGUCCCAGGGCUGGUCCAGCGCCAAUACCUCCGCCAGCACCGGGCGGUUGAUUGCGUUGUCCCUUCCCCAGGCCGACGAGGGGAUGCACACCACGGCCUUUGGCCUCGGCGGACCACCGCGUCAUCACCUACAAGGCGACGCUCCAAGUCAGACUGCAUGGCAUGCAGGGCGCUACAACAAGGCCCACGAGGUGGUUGCCCCGGAGGCUUAUGUACCCCACCUGGUGGAUCAAGGGCGCGUAUUGGAAGAAGGUCACGGCUCGUUCCUCGGGCCCGGCUGGGACGAGGAGGCGCCGAAAGCCGAGCUCUUUCAGGAACCCCGAGAGAGCAUCGACAACCGCGCCGACAACAGCAACUAUCGGGUACCACUCAUCCCUCAGGAGCAAGCUUACGCUAACCAUGGGUCGCAGGAGGUACAGGUCGCCGCAGCGGAUGACUGCCCCAACACUGCAGCCUCUUAUCCCUCAGGAGGAGGGCGCAGGGGGCUGCAGGAGAGGGGCCGAGAUCCGGGCUCGCCCUCGCGGCGGUCGGAUCAAGGUGUUCUCCGGAGGUAGGCGCGGAGGUGCCCCAUGGCCUGCCCCCGGCGGAGGACCCGUGGUCGUCGGGGGAACCGCUGGUGACCGCUCUACCCCAUUGGCGUCGUCCUUGGUUUCCGGUCGCCGUCAAUGGCGGCAGAGUGAGGCGCAAGGCGGGGCCCUCAUCUGGCGAUAUGAAGCAAGGCCGGUACCUAUGAAGAAGGCCCAGUGUCUGUGAAGCUCGCCGCCCCGUGACACUCUCACGUAAUAAUGAGUGGGGUUGUACACGCCCCGGAGUCUCAGGAGCGCCGGCCUCAGGCCCUGGGGCUCCCGCCCACGCCCAGUGGCAGCACUCAGCUCUGCGCUGGUGAGAAGACGUCGAAGACUAGACUAGGUGCCGGACGCGGCUUUUUUGCUUGUCUUCCGCCUUCUUGCUUUUUUUGCUUCUUCCUUGUCGGCAAGUUUCUUCGGUUUGGAUUUAAGUUGGAUUUGAGUUCGAAGCUUGCGUGCAUUCGGGGAGGGGGUGUUUAGUCUCGUUCGAGCAAUCUCUCGCGUUCUGGUUUUGGCUUUGCGUCCAAGGUUAACAUCGGCUGCCCCCCCCCCCUCGCGAGCCGGGCCGGGCCAGGCAUGUUCACAACUAGGACCGCUGUUACCGCACCCUUUCCGGAGGUUUUCAUCGCGAGAUCCACAAGUUAAUCAGAAGACACCGAGGAGCAGCGGCCCCCACAGGCCCGCUCGGGACUCGUUGGGGUCGGAAGGUACACAAGUCAGCUGACCCAUCACCGGGCCGACAGCUACGCUCACACAUAACAUCACACUUACCAAAGUACUAAGUGCAAACCUUUACAUGAGGGGCUUCCCCUCCCAAAAUGCUCUUACAUCCUUCAGGGCCAAGCCCGAACUUUCUUUGUGCAGGUUAAACGGCAGUAACGCGCGGUCAGUCGGACAUAUCACUCGCCGCGUGAUGGGCGUCCUCAGAGGCAUCACUGGCGUCGUUGGCAUUCCCGCCGCCGCCGCCGGCAUCUCCAUCAACGCCAGGCCCGUCCACAACAUCGCCUUCAUUGGAGCCCACAACCACGCCGUCGUCAUCGAACGCAAAGGCCCUGACGAGGGCGUCCAUGUUGGCCUCCACCCACCGCGCCAGGUAGCCCCGGACGGUAAUGGGCACGGGUGCGAUGGCAGCGUCGAAGUCAAAGUGGGGGUCCCUGUCCUGUAGAUGGCUGAAGACGCAGGAGAAGGCACGCCCAAGCAAGGCUCGGCUCCUCUCUUCGACAAGCCAACGGGACCUCUCGGACCGGUUCUCCAGAAGCAUCACCACAUCGGUGAAAAAUUGGAGGUUGCCGAUGUAGUUGACCUCGUGUGGCUCCCUAGCGGCAGCCUCGCAGAUGUACCCCAAAGCUGUGUUGGCCCUCUCUCAGAGCGUUUGAAGCAUGGGGGCGUGCACGUGCUCCAGAGCCCGCCGCCGUCGGAGCUCGUCCCCACUCUGCUGCGCGACGGCCUCGCCGUCAUCAACCCUCUGUUGAAGAAGAAGCUGCUCGGCCCGGGAAGAGGACAGCUCCACCUGCGCCACGCUGAGGGCGGCUGCGGAGGAGUCCGCGCGCCGCGUCGCUUCAGUCAGUUUGGCCCUGAGGGCUGCGGUCCUGCCCUCGGCCUCAACCUUAAUCAGCCCCAACCUCGUCUUGUAUUCAUGCUCGAAGGCCGAGCGAGCUUCCACCAUGCGGCGAUCGACUUCUUCCUGGGCCCGGGCUUCGCGCGCGGCAACGUCAUCCUCCGCCCGGGCCACUAGGCGCUCCCUCGUCUCCAACCGCUCAAGGUCAAAGUUGCGCUCGGCGGCCUCCAGCGUCAGCGCCUCCUCGCGCUUCAGAAGCUCCGCCUGGUCAACAGAGGCCAACCCCAUCGACUCAAGGGCCGCAUGGCGCAAUUCCACUUGCUGCUCCAGGGAGUUGCUCUAGGCCUGGAGCUCCCGUGCGCGCUCCUCUGCAUCCUUGCACCGUCGGUCUGCCUCCCGAGCCUCCUCAACGGCCAGGGAGCAGGCCUCCCGCGAAGCUGCUAGCGACGCUUCGGCCUUCGUGUUGUCGAGGUCACGUUGAUGACACGCGAGGGCAAUGGCCACCUUUAGCUUGCGCCUCUCCUCAGCAAGGCGCAGGCCUUCAGCCUCGAGGUGCGCAUCCUCGGCAGCAAGCUCUGCUCCGACCCGGUUCAUCGCGUCCGCCGCCCCCUGGAGGAACUCUUCACGAUGGGCACAACGCUCCCGAGCGCGCCUGAGCACAUCUUCCACAUCACCCUCUUCCGCUGGAGCAUGCAGAGGGCCCCGAGGCGGUAAGCCCCCUCCAGGCGUGGGGCAGGGGGUUGCCGCCCUAGCCGUCACCGAAUGGACCGCCCUGAGAGUCCGGCCCGGCGUCGACCCACCCACGAAGGAGGAGCCAAGGACAGACCUCAGCCAUUCGCCUUCUAUGACCAGAGAAGGGGCACGGGGCAAGCCUGACGCGCCCCAAGAAGACUCGCGAAGGAAGGGCAUCGGGCGAGCAAGCUCGAGGCGCCCUAUGGAGCAGAUCACUCCACCAACCGAUCCAGCGGCGAGGGCGCCACCCGAGCUCGGCGGACCCAGAGCCAGCAAAGGGGGCGGAGCUGCAGGGGCCGGCUCCUGGGUCGACUCGGCGGACUCAGCAAGGCGGGACCUGAAGGGCCACAAUGAGCCACAAGGAUAACAGAGCAAAUGAGCAGGGAAAGGAGAAGGCUUACUCGUCCAUGGCAAAGUACUUCCUGCGCUUCAACAAGUGGCAAGGGCGGUCGCUGCCGCCUGAGGCCUCCUUCCUCUUGCGAAGGGCCUCGAAGUCUACACGAAACCGACCCAAGCGCCUGGGCGGGGGUCGGCCUGGGGCGCAGAAGAAGCCUCAGGAUUGUUGGUGCCAGAGGAGUCAGCUUUGGGGGCACCGUCGGGCGUCGCCUUGCGAAGAACGGCUGGGGACUCGGGAGCCCAGGCCUCAGGAGCUGAAGGCCAAAACCCUGCUCAACCGCCACCCCAGGGUGGGCCUCGGGAGACAUCGCCUCUGAGGCUUCACGCGGCGCCACCACCUCGACAUCAGCCACCUCAGCUCACAUCAGCUCUCUCCCCGCUCUGUCGCUUGAGGAGGGACCGUUGUGGGCGGCGGGGGGAACAACCACGACAACUGGGUUCUCGCGUGGCCCCGUGAGGCCAGCCGGGUGUAGCCCCCACUCGUCGAAGCUGGGCAUCUGCUUCACGAAAUCAGCCCUGCCGGAAAAAAAAUGUAGAGAAGGACGCCAUGCUCCAUAGGCUGCCUGGGGAAGGAUCACCAGUCAAGACCCAAAGCACCAUCCGCAGCACUUCGGGCACCAAAUCCUCCUCCUGAAGCCGCAUGCGGUCUCCGCGCCCCGCAAAGUCCCACAUCCGGCGAGAGUGGCGCUAGAGAGGAGCAACGCGACACAGAAGGAACUCCCUCACCACCUUGGGCACUGUCACAUUGUGCGCCCUCAAACUUUCGAAGCGGCGCCAGACGAAAGCGAGUCGGGGGCUCGCGAGCGGUUCAUGACCCCAGCCUGGGUUGGGAAUAGCAGGCAAGGUCGGGUGCGAGAGCAAGGGGCUGGGCACCCCGACGUCCACGUACAGCCACCGCUCUCUGAACCUGGCCUGAGAAGGCGGAAGGCCGAAGUCAAUCCCUGAAGCAGCCGUCUCAGGCACGGCGAAGAAGUUUACACACCCCGAGCACUGAGUGGGAUCACUCAGGCGCAGAGAAAAGAAGUGGCGCAGCAGGGCAACAGAAGGAGGGAUGCCUAUCAUCGCCUCGCACACGAAAGCAAAGACAGCCAAAAGGCGCUCACCAAGAUCUGCGGGCGAAGGCGCUCGCCAAGGUCUCGUCGCCGCCGGCGGGCGAGGCGGGCUGGGGGCCGCCGCCUCCCUGGUGGCUCGCGGAGCAAGAGCGGAAGAAGGAGGAAGAGCGUGAGCGCAAAAGGAAGAAGAAAGAGGAGUACCGGCGCCAUGGGCUUGAACAGAAGAAGGAGCUCAAGAGGAAGGAAUCCCUCCUUCCUCUGAGCGGCGAGCGGGCUGGGGAUCCUCUCGCCAAGAAGCAGAAGCAGAAGGGGGCAGGCUCGGCGCUCCCACUGUUGGCUGCCGGGCCGUCGGCAUCGAAGGGCUCGGCUGACGCCCCGAUCCCAGUGGAGGAACUCGAUGGGCCAGAGUGCUUCAAAUGCGGGAGGGUGGGCCAUUACCAGAAUAUGUGCCAUCUCAAGCCUCUGUGCGUCGUCUGCCACGAGGAGGGGCACGCAUCGGCACACUGCCCCACGCGCGGUUGGCCUCUGCAGAUGCAGAUCAUGGGCAACACCAUCCCCGACGAGGGCUUCUUCUACCUGCCCUUCGUGGAGUCGGCGGGCGAGGAGGUCAGUGCCCCGGCGGUGGCGGACGCGGCGCUCAUCUCGGCGGCACUGGGCAAGCUGUCAGUCUCGAUCUUGGAGGCGGAACUCCCCCACCUCUUCGAAGGGGAUUGGGACUGGCAGGUGGUGGACGUCGGGGACGACUUGUUCUCCGUCGUCUUCCCCGACAAGGCCAUGCUGCGAAUGGCGACGCGCAGUGGCAAGCUGUACCUCUCCCUCAACGACAUCAUGGCAGAGAUCAAGGAAGCUGUUCUGGAGACUCCCAACGCCGAAAUCAUGCUGGAUGUGUGGGUCAAACUUUGGGGAGUGCCACCCAAGCAUCGCCGCGUGGAUCGUCUCAUGGCGGGGACUGUGAUGAUCGGGCGCCCGAUGGAAGUGGACAAGGCGUCAUUGGCGGGGCUUGGUCCUGUGCGGAUGCGUUUUGCGUGUCACUCCCCGGCCAAGAUCAAAGGGUUUGUUCAAAUCUGGUUCAACAGCGAGGGCUUUACCAUGCGGAUGGAGGCCGAGGCGGGUGGCAGGCUGGGAGGUGCCCCCCCUCCCCCUCCCCCGGCUACCAAGGACAAGGGCCCUGAUGACAUGGACAAGGACAUGGACAAGGAGAAGGACGCGAGCAUGGGGGAUGACUCCAUUGACACUGCGACUUGGGAUAAGCUGGGCCUCAAGGACAAGACUUCGAAGGCCGUGGCCCCGUCUGCGGGGGCUGCGAAGGACCUGGAGGAGCGUCAAGUUGGUGUGGGCAGCAACGAAACGGGCUUCAAUCAAUACGGCUCCAACAUGUCCCUCGGCCUCGACCUCGACAAGGGCACCUCGGCUUCGUGCGACUCGGAGGGCCGUUCCAUGCUCAUCUCCCCGGCUGCGGAAGAAGGCGGGCUUCCCACGCCCGUGCGCGGUCUGGCGAUUGGUGGGGGGCGGCUCCAUAAGAAGACGGCGGGCCGCAAGACCCCCCCCCCCGGUGGCGCCAACGAGUCCCCCCUCGGUGCGGGCGGGCACGCCCGUUUCGCACCGGAUGGCGGUGAUGGCGUUGGCUUCCCCUGGCGGUGCGAUCGGGGGGCACGGGCCGACGGAUCCCCCGCCUUCCUCCGACACUCUCCGGGCGGAGGUGACCAAGGCGGCUCCCAUCUCCACGGCCAAGCGCUCCAAGGCGGUGGUGACGACCCCGGUGGCGCAGGAACGGGUCAGCUCCCGGCCAAAGGGCGCCAAGGGCAACCUCCCUGCUCUCCAACGCGCGCAACUCUUGCUGGCCCAGAAGAACAUGGAGACCGAAGGUAACCCCCUACCCCGUUUUACGAUUUUCGACGAUUACUCGGAUGAGUGCCUUGGUAGUAUUUUAGGGGAUAGUGGGGUUGAUCUGUCUGAUGAGGGAGAGGCCCGAGAGCUCCUGUCUCUCAUUCGCUCUAAGGAGAUCGCGCAGGCCGCGCUUGCCCAGGCGGCGGCGGCACGCGCUGCGACGGCACCAGAAGAGGCAGGGGCUUCUCUGGUCCCGGUCGCCCGGCCCGAUCGGGCGGACACAGCAGCAGGGGCUGCACUGUCCCCCCCAGCCCGUGGUCCUGUGAGGACUCGGCGAGUGGCCAAGGCGGUUACCGCUCGUGGUAUCCGCCUCCGCAAUCGCAUAAUCUAAAUGCAUUUCCUCUUCUGGAACAUCCGAGGCUACGGCCACGUUGGGAGGCGGACCCAGCUUAACGAGUUCAUUCGCGGCGAAAACAUCGAUGUAGUUGGUCUGCAGGAAACCAUCAAGGCUGAUUUCUCUCACCGAGACCUGCUCGCCAUCGACCCGCUCGAACGCUUCGUGUGGCACUGGGUGCUAGCGAUUGGCCACUCUGGGGGUAUGCUACUUGGCAUCAGCCAUGUGUGCUGCGAGGUGGUGGCUUGGGACGCCGGCCGGUUUUUCGUGUCGGCUCACGUCCGCCAUCGUGCGUCUCUCCGUGAGUGGGAGAUUAUAGUGGUCUACGGCCCGGUAGAUCAUUCACACUCGCAUGAGUUCUUGGGGGAACUUCAGGAAAAGGUUGCGGCCUUGGGUGUUCGCAACCUACCCCUCAUCGUGGGAGGGGAUUUUAACCUUAUCCGUUCGGGAGCGGAUAAGAACAACGAGAUUAUUAACUGGACAAGGGUGUCCAUGUUCAAUAAUGCUAUUGCUUCUAUGGCCCUUAGGGAAGUGGCCCGCGUGGGCGCACGAUAUACCUGGACAAACAAGCAACUCUCACCGGUCCGGUCUGUGCUGGACCGUGUUUUUAUGUCCGCGAAGUGGGAGAUGCUCUUUCCUAUGUGCUCACUUCACGCUGAAACGAGGAUCGGGUCGGAUCACGUCCCUCUAAUCCUCUCCUCGGGGGAGGACCGGUUAAAACGAAGCCCACGGUUUUUCUUUGAAACUGCUUGGUUUGAAAACCCGGAAUUUGAACAAAUCUUCCUCUCCAAAUGGGAGUCCUGUGUGGCCCGGAUCCGGCACGCGAGAGGGCCCAUGGAUUUCUGGAUUUCUGCAGGGGCGGGGUUGCGCGCGGCCCUCAAAGGUUGGGGGGCCAACCAGGGUCGAGAGGAUAAGCUGCUCUGAGCCUGUUUGGUGACGGACCUCGCCCGUAUGGACGCGGCUGCGGACGUACGGGUUUUCUCGGAGCAAGAAUGGGCCGAGCGGUACGCGGUUGAGGCCCAGGUUGAGGCCCUCCUCCGUGCCGAGGAGGAGUACUGGCGUAGGAGGGGCGGAAUAAAGUGGACGCUCAAAGGGGACGCAAACACAAAAUACUUCCAUGCUUAUGCCAACGGCCGGCGUCGUAAGUGUGCCAUUCUGAGGUUGCAAUCGGAGCAGGGGCUCCUAUUGCGCCAACAGGACAUAGUCCGGCACAUUUACGAUUUCUACAUCGAGCUGCUGGGCUCCAGGGAGGAGUCCAGGGCUCGCCUACGGGCGGAUAUCUGGGAUCCCGCUCUGCAGGUCUCGGAUGAAGAGAACGAAGGCUUGGGCCUCGCCUUCCUUCCUCAGGAAAUCGACCAGGCGAUCCUGGGGAUGAAAUCUGACACGGCACCCGGCCCGGAUGGGUGGCCGGUGGCGAUGUUCAAAAAAAGUUGGCAAGUCCUCAAGGGCCCAAUUUUCGAGGUGUGUAACGGGUUUAUGCGUGGCACUGUAGACAUCUCGCGCCUUAACUUUGGGGUUCUUUCGCUUAUCCCCAAAGUUCAGGGCGCGGACAAUAUUAGACUUUUCCGCCCCAUAGCGCUUAUCAACGUCCCGUUCAAAAUCUGCUCUAAGGCUUGUUCUUCGCGCUUGUCUCCGGUGGCCCAUCGUAUUAUUAGUAGGAAUCAAACAUCGUUUAUUCGUGGUCGCAACAUUUUGGAGGGCCCGUUGGCCCUCCAAGAGAUCGUUCACUCGCUCAAGCGUAGCCGCCAGCCGGCAAUACUUCUGAAAUUAGAUUUCGAGAAGGCGUACGACCGAGUGAACUGGGAGUUUCUCCGACAAAUCCUUCUGGAUCGAGGGUUUCGGCAGUGUGGGUUCACCGUAUGAUGCAAUUGGUCUCGGGAGGCAAAACGGCGAUUGCGGUGAACGGAGAAGUAGGGAACUUCUUCCGCAACAAGCGUGGGCUGCGUCAAGGGGACCCAGCCUCACCGUUGCUUUUCAACUUUGUGGCAGAUGCAUUGGGUGUCAUGCUAGACAAAGCUCGCGUUGCUGACCACAUCAGGGGAGUGGUCGGCAAUCUGAUCCCUGGAGGGGUGUCGCACCUUCAAUAUGCUGAUGACACCCUACUCCUUUUUGAGCCGGACACUCACAGCAUAGCAACGGUUAAGGCCAUCUUGUUAUGUUUUGAACUAAUGUCCGGACUAAAAAUUAACUUCCACAAGUGUGAAGUGGUGUCCAUAGGGCUGGGCGCGGCCGAAAGCGAAUGGGUGGCCAACUUGCUAAAUUGCAAGCUUGGAAAGUUCCCGUUCACCUACCUUGGCCUCCCGAUCGCAGAGAAGAAAUGCUCGAUUGCCGAUUGGGAACCUCUCAACACUAAGGUGGCGGACCGGGUAUGUCCAUGGAGAGGUCGAUUUAUGUCAUCAGGGGCACGACUAAUCCUUACUAACUCUAGCCUCUCGUCCCUACCCAUGUUCGCCAUGGGUAUGUUCUUGUUGGCGGAUGGAGUCCAUAAGAAAAUGGACACUCCCCGGGCACGUUUCUUUUGGGAAGGUGCGGGCCCUAAACGGAAGUACCACAUGGUUAAGUGGCAUGCCGUUUGUAGACCUAAAACCCAGGGGGGUCUCGGGGUCAUCAACUCUAAGCUGAUGAACAUUGCACUUAUGUGCAAGUGGAUCUAGAAGCUGUCCCAGGGAGGGACCGGCCUCUGGAUUGACCUCCUUCGCGCCAAGUACUUCCCACAUGGGAAUUUCUUUGAGGCGUCUCCUCACGGGUCACCUUUCUGGACCUCCAUCCAAUCCCUCAAACCGUACUUCGCCAGGGGAGCGAGGUUUACGGUUAACAACGGCCGCUCCACCCGGUUUUGGCACGACGUGUGGAUUGGCCAGCAACCCCUUUGGUCGGAGUUCCCCCACCUCUACGCCAUCGCGGUUGAGCCCAAUCAACUGGUGGCGUCGGCCCUCAGUGCCUCCCCGCCCCCCAUAUACUUCAGAAGGGAGCUUGUGGGACCGGAGCGGGCCGAGUGGGAUCACGUGCGGGCUUUGACUGCGACCAUCCGCUUAUCGGACUCCGCAGACGAGGUCACUUGGAGACUCUCGGGCUCUGGCAAGUUCACUGUCAGUCAAUGUACAGGGAGCUGUGCCGCGGGCAUGCCCCUAUGGCAGCCUCGGGGCUUUGGAAGGCGCGAAUCCCGCUAAAAAUUAAGGUCUUUCUUUGGCAAUUAUGUCAGGAUCGCCUUCCUACCUCUAUUAAUAUAGCCAAGCGCAAUGGCCCUGCUUCCGGACCGUGCGCUUUGUGUCAUAACGCGGAAGAUGCUGACCACGCGUUUUUUCGCUGCCCUUUGGCGCGGUUUGCUUGGAGUGCGGCCAGGGAGGCCGCUGGGGUGGAUUGGGAUCCACGCUCACGCUCUGAGCUUGUGUCUUACUUAUCUGCGAUCCCGGGCUCUUUGCGCCGGAUAAUGUGGACGUGUGCUUCGGCCUUGCUAUGGGCCUUAUGGCAUAUUCGUAACAAGUUUACUAUUGAGGGAGCGUUUCCCUCUCACCCUGCUGAUGUUAUCUUCAAAUGCAUCUUAUUCUUGCAGCAGUGGGCUACGCUGGGAAGGCAACAGGAUGUUGAUCUCCAUCGACAUGCCAUCGCUCGGCUCCGCACAGUCUACUCGGUGUCCCGGGCCCCGUCGCCUCCUCCGUCUGCUGCCUUAUAGGGAUAGGCGGCCCUUUUGGUCCUGCUUUCUUUGAGCCUGCGUGCUCGCUCUUCUGGCUAGCUAUGCCAUGUAACGCACUUAUCACCGGUCUCGCCUUUUGGCUCUGCUUCGAAACUUGGCUGUCUAGCUUCGGUUCCGUUUAGUUUGGUCUUGAUACUUUGUUUGCACGCUGCCUAUUGUUGUGGGCUUUAUUAAUUUAAAGCCGGACGUCUCUGACGUCUAUGUUCUAAAAAAAAGAACAAAAGGAAACAACACAAAUAAGUGAAAAGGAAUUAUUGGCUUUCUUGCCAGCUGAAUGAAGACACGGACCCUUCAGAAUGAUUAACCUUGCACACAAGAAGAGGGGAUCGAGGAGACCAAUCCAAUCACUCAAAAUUAAUAUAUUUGGACAUUGCAAAAGAACUCCUACAUACUGUACUAGCUAGGCCGGCUAGCUGCUGUGAUCAUCCCGGGUAAACUCACGGCCAGCCUGGUGAUCUUCGUCGUCGAACUCGACCCACACCGCACUGAUAGUCGUCUCCAGCUUGCUCUCAAAGGGCGCGUCGCCUUCGUUCUCCUCCGCUACCACACCGGCGCCGCCAAGCUCCUUCCGACCAUCCUCUUCACAGACCGGCGGCAUGAGCUCAAUUGCCGAGGCCUGCGCCGGCGUAACGACCCUGACGACGGGGUACUCUGUGAUCUUGCCGACAUUGCUCUUCUUGCACUUGUGGUAGAACUCUUUCAGCUCAGGCGUCUGAGCGCACGCCUUCCUCAGCACCCCCUGAGCUGAAACCCUGAGAGACUUGCUGAGACGACCGGCGCUUCUUGACCUUAGCAGCACGUCGAUGCCGUCAUUGAAGGAGUCGUAGACCUUGAAGCUCUCCCGGAGGACAAUGCCGAAGGCUGACCGCGCGGCGGCGCUGGCGCUUGUGUUGUUGUCCGGAAGGAGCUGGACAGCGACGUCAAGCAGCCUCUGGCACAUGGUGAGCUUGAAGAGGAGCUCCUCGGCGGCGACGGCAUCGUAGGAGGAGGCCGGGUGCGGCUUGUCGUCGUGAUCUUGUGGUGGGGGGCGGGUGGGCUCCAGGUUGCCGGACUGGUUGAUCACCCACUGCAUGCGCUCCUCGAGGUAGGCCGUGUAGCCGUGGAGGAAAGAGCACGCGCCGGUGGCGGUCACCGUGCUGGCCGUGACAUAGUUGGCGCCGGCGCCUGAGGCAGCGAGGGGAGAACAGGAGCAGCCGCAACGUGGCGCGUCGACGCGGAGGUCGCGGGAGGCCCAGAGGCCUCGGAAGUCCUGCUCGAAGUAGCGGUCGCCCGCGCGGAGGAGGCGGUGGACGAGGAGCAGAGACCGGAGCGCGGUGGCCGGGGUCCGCGCCGCCUCUAGGCGCGCCGUGAUGCGGCGGGAGAGGAAGGUGAUCGCGCCCGGGGCGUUGGAGACGAGGAAGAGGAUCUCGUGGACGUGGCGGUCGUCACCGACGCUCCCGCCCCCUCCACCGUCCGUGCACCGCGCGAUGGCCGCCUCGAUGUCCGUGAGGAGCGCUCGGUCUGGCACCGCCGCCGUGGAAGCCUUGUUGGAGGCUGCGCCUACAUGAUCCAUGAGUGACCCUAGUGCUGCCCAAAUCUUGCCUCUGAACACCUUCAUGUCUUAUAUGCCCUCAUGAGAGUAGAGAGAGGAGGAGGAGAUGAGAGAGAUGGCGUAUGUGAGUUAUAGCACACUCCCUCUUGUGCAUGCACUCACUUGCAGGUGGGCCAAGGGAGAUAUAGGUAGAGAGAGAAAGAGAGCUAUAGAUGGCCACGGUCAGACUCUGAUGAGUGUCAUCUUCACAAGAAUUUCUCGAGUGAAGCGUCUGCAUCAGCAAAUCCACUAUUGGCCUUAUGACUUGGGGAAAAGGAGUUGCAGGAUGAAAGCUAACCCUCCACUACUACCACCAAUAUCAUGAGAGAGAGAGGAGAGAGAGAGAGCAAGAAAUUAUAUUCGGAGGUCAACUCUUGGGUGGAAGAAUCAAAUGCCUUUGGAAUGAGGUGCCCCUCCAGCAUCAAAGGCUUCCUUCCUCCAUUGGCAAUGGACAGUAGGUUUGACUCAAACAAACAAGUUCUUUGGUAUGAGGAUGGAUUCCUACACAUCAACAUCAAAACAAGGAGCUUUUGGGAGGAAUGUAGGGUUUUGGGACUAACUAAAGGGGAGGCACGGUUAACCCACACUUAAGUACAUCCCCAGGAGAAGCAGGGUCAUAAUCUAUAUUCCCCUCCUCACAAACAUAUCUCUCACCCUCAGCCACCUAGUGAUGGGAUAAUGCUAGACUUUGCUUUAUACUCGGAUAUACACGCCUCGCAAGAAAUUAGUGGGGGCUUUACAACCCCUCAUGGUCAUGGUUUAGUUUAAUGGUGGUGUUGAUGUUGUUGUUCCGACGCACUUUGUAGCACAAAGUGUGCCGCCCGAUGAGUCGACGAAUCACAACGCGAAAAGUGUUAGGUUCGAUAAUUUCCUCGAAAGAUGUUUUCGAUAGAGAGAAUUGCUUUUCCAAUAUAGAGAAAUUGAAGGUGUGGAACAUUCCUAGCCAUUUGAAACAACUCAACCCCACAUAUAUUCUCCGUGUCAUAUUGGUGGUGGCGGUAGUCGCUGGAAUCAGCUACAAAAACUGCUUCACAACUUGCACUAGGUUAUACAGUUGGAAGGGAAAAACAAGAUAGCAUAUGAUUAGGGUAUUGUGCAAAAUUUUACUGUAUGCACAACUUACACUCUCUCUAGCUAAAUGUCGGAAAACAGAAGACCAGCUCAAGGGAGCGUGCCUUGCGAACCGAAGAAACUAAUUUCUGUAUCCAUGUCGACAUUUUGUCACCACUUGCUUCAGUCCACCAUGCUUGAAUUCUUAUUCUCAAAAGGACCGAUCGAUCACAUGGGUCGAUAGCAACAUCAUAUGGGAAUUAUAUCUACAUAUCCCAUGAACCCAGCAUGCCAAUUCUACAGGACCUUGAGCUGAUCAUUUGUCCAUGUCAUCGUAUGCAACAUUUCCCUCAAAGAACAUUCCGUCGGAGAGGGAGGAUUGGAGAAAGUGUAAAGGCAGUUCUACUUGACGAGACUAAAGGCAAAGGUAGUGUUUCUUUAAUAGUACUUGCCUUUUAGUGAAACAAACAAUGGACUUGGAAUUUUUAUGUUGUUCCUCUUUCCUAUCCUCUGCCUUAGCAUGAAAAAUUCCACAGAAAAGGGUAGACUUUAUAGGGGCCUAAGCACAUCCUUCAUGUGGUGCAUGCAACACUAACUGGCAUCAGUGGGGUUUACAAUACUGGAAUUUGAUGCUGCUUUGCUACAGCAUCAGAUUCAAAUCCAUUAACCAGGAAUUUGAGGUAUUCAUUAAUUAAUUGGCACUACAUUACAAAAAACAUGUAUCCCAAUUAUUGAUUAUAUCACCUACUAAAAUAGAGCUACACCUAAAAUGCGUAGUAAGUACACAAAAAUGCCCAUACAGCUUUAUAAAAGGCUGAGUAAUUGUAUAUUUUGAUAAAAUUCAACUUCCUGCUUAAUUCAUAUUUAAGUAAACUGUGCCCGGCUAGGAGAGUAUAUUGCUACUAGUUUCCUCUAAAUGAUUACUAUCUCUUAAAUGAAAGAACAUGGAUAUGUCCUCAAAAUUAAGUACCUCCACGACAAAAUAGAUGACGUCCUAGAAAAUGUGUUGUCGAACAUCUCUAGCUCCAACUAUGUAAAAAAGGUUAUUCCGAUUGCUCUUAGAUAAUACUAGUACCAUUAGAAUUUUCAAGGAAAAUAUGUUGUAGUUUUAUGAUACCAUUUCUAUGAUUACAUACUUAAAAAGCAUAACGUUGCAGCUUAAAAAUUGUUCAUGUCUAAAAUGGCAUGUAUUUAGGCUUGCGUUGGUGACAGUACUGAAUACCAAUUUUAAGGAUGCCACGUGGAAAAGCUGCAUUUCCUCCUUCAAAGAAUUUGCAUAUUUACGUGUAUGGCGCUGAGUGUUGGGCAACUAAAAGGUGACAUGUUCAACAGUUACGUGUAGCAGAGAUGCGCAUGUUGAGAUAAAUGUGUGGCCACAAAGAAAGGAUUGGGCCCAAAAUGAUGAUAUACAUGGUAGAGUCGGGGUAGUACUGAUUGAAGAGAAGUUUGUCCAACAUCGUUUAGGAUGGUUUGAGCAUAUACAUCGCAGGCCUUCUGAAACUCCAUUGCAUAGCGGAUGGUUAAAGUGUGCUCAUAAUAUCAAAAGAGAGGUCGAGGUAGAUCAAACUUGACAUGGAGGAGUCCGUAAAGAGAGAUCUGAAGGACCAAAAUAUCACCAAAGAACUAGCCAUAGACAAGGGUGCAUCAAACCAUGAGUUGGCUUCAAGAUCUUAUGAGUUUCGGCUCUAGUCUAUCCUACCUUGUUCAGGACUAAAAACUUUGUUGUUUGUUAUGAUGGUGGUGGUUUUAUAUAACACAAAGAAUUGAAGAUAAGCUGACUAGACAGGAGCGAAUGGAUGUUUGGCACAUAAAAAAUGCCACAAGUCCUACUUACUGCAGCUGACACAAGAAAUGUUACAGUAUAGUAGAAGCUAACCUGCUUGCCAGCUAGGCGCUAUCUGUUACAGUAUAGUAGAAGCUGGCGUGGAACCUGACCUGUGUGCCACUUGAAUCAUCGUCAUAUCUAUCCAAACAGCCAACACGCUAACCAGCCAAAGAAAAAAUCUCACGGAACAGCAAGCCCAUUGUUGUCGCCAGGAUUUGGAGCGCUUGGAAAGCGCUGAAGGAGACCACAAAAGAAAAAGAAAUGCGAUAAACUUGGACAAGUCAAAAAGGCAAGGUUGGCAGGGCAGAGUGGGAGAUAAAGUUGAUAGGUUGCAACUAGUAGGACAGGGACAUCACCAGCAGAAAACCAGGCCGGGAAAAGAGGAAAAGAGAGGAGCGGCACAAAAAGGAGACCUUGAUUGAUCUGCGUGUAAACUAGCGGGGCAGCAGCAAUGGCAUCGGAUGCAGUCUACUCUUCCUGCCUCUUGCCAAUCUGGGUGCGUGUGUUCCAUCUCACAAAAGUCGAGCACUGCACAAGUCAAACCCGCCAGAUUACACGGAGAUUAGGCUGCCUCAAAAGCGUCGGAGAGUGGGCACUAUCUAUACCUGAAACAUAAGUCCAUGAUCAGUGACAUGUAUUCGCAGGCAAACUUUUUUGAGCUUUUGCCACAACCAAAAGAUAGGAUAGCAAACCAUCAGAAGGGGAAUACAACCUACACUUGUGGCAAGCACCGCCGACAAUCCAUCUUAAACAUUGAACCAGCAGCCGUGAUUUCCCGAGUAGACAAACACCCAACUACUUACCAUUUACCAAGUUCUAAAACAGUGGAACCAUGUGUAGAUGCUAGAUACCAUGUCCAAAUAACUAGGCUGUAAAAGCUAAGAUAACAGGCGAUUCUUCAACAAAUUACAACAAGGGUACAUGAUGACAUGAUACAUCACGGGACCUAGGACACUGAGAGUCCAGAACAGGCGCACUGACAAGGCUCCAAGACAUACAAGCUGUUACAAUUAGUUGCUACGACUACAAGUAAAUCUAGAACAUCACCGACAUACACCAAAUAACAACAC